GGGAAAAAGAAGGUGAUUUAGGGUUCAUGGAAAGAUAACAUCCCGCUCUUUGUUCCAGGAAGGGAAAUGUGGCCUGUUAAUUCUCUAAAUGCUGAAUUAUGGGAGAAGACACCAGUCUUUGGCCUGAGAGUUUGGGUUGUGAUUGGCAUCUCCGUUGGUGUAUUAAUUGUGUUCAUCCUCUCCAUCCUGUCCGUAUGGGUCACAUCUCGCCAGAAGACAUCAAGGAGCUUCGACGAACUCCCGGUAUCUCAAAUCCCCAGUGUCUCCAAGGAAAUUACAGUAGACAGAGUUGGACCACAGAGUGUUGCUCAGACUCCUCAUGAGCAUCGGACGCAUUGCUUCUCCUCCUAUGACUCCGACAAGACGAUGAUGUCUAGUGAUGCUGACAACAUGAGCCAAUGCAGCUCAAUUCACCACAAUGACAGGGACGCAAGUCCAUAUUCUGGUGACGAAGGUAGCUCAGGACAUGCUAGAAGACCACAUUCACCAUACAGCCUUGUUUCUGCGUCUCCUUUGAUCGGUUUGCCGGAGUUCUCACAUCUGGGAUGGGGUCACUGGUUUACUCUACGGGAUCUGGAGAAUGCGACGGAUCGUUUCUCCAAGGAGAACGUGACUGGGGAGGGUGGAUAUGGAGUCGUUUAUCGAGGUCGUCUUGUUAAUGGCACUGAAGUUGCAGUCAAGAGGCUUCUGAACAAUCUGUAAGUUACUGACUUCACACUGAUCACAGACAUUGUGCUUUCAGAAUGAUCAGCUAAUUCUGUGCUCGAUUUGGGAUUUCCAGGGGACAAGCAGAGAAGGAAUUCAGAGCGGAAGCGGAAGCUAUUGGCCAUGUCCGGCACAAGAAUCUGGUCAGGCUUUUGGGUUACUGCAUCGAAGGAACUCACAGGUGAAGAAAUAGAUUUAACUAUGCUUUUAGAAAUCUUAUUUUUACUUGUUAAACUGGUCUGAUAAAUGCACGAUUAAUCGGAGACGAAGAAGUAUGGCAGACUAAUGAACUCCUAACAUGUGUAGGAUGCUUGUAUACGAGUAUGUCACCAAUGGAAACUUAGAGCAAUGGCUUCAUGGAGCUUUGCAACAACACGGUGUUCUUAGUUGGGAGAACCGCAUGAAGGUUGUCGUCGGCACUGCAAAGGGGUAAGUCUGUGACUUCGCAUCGACACAAAUAUUAAUGGUUGUUGAUCGAAUUCGGGCAAUUGUAUGGCUUGCAGACUCGCUUAUUUGCAUGAAGCCGUCGAACCGAAGGUUGUGCACCGCGAUAUAAAAUCAAGUAACAUCUUGAUCGAUGCAGAAUAUGAUGCAAAGAUCUCUGACUUCGGAUUGGCUAAGCUCUUGGGUUCAGGCAAAAGCCACCUUACUACCAGAGUGAUGGGAACAUUUGGGUGCAUUGACGUCUUCUUCUUCUCUGUGCCUUACUUAGAUCCAAAGAACAAUCCAUACUUAAAAUUCUCUUCUCACUUCAGGUAUGUGGCUCCUGAAUACGCUAAUACUGGACUGGUGAACGAGAAGAGCGAUGUUUACAGUUUCGGAGUGCUGUUACUGGAAACUGUGAGUGGCAGGGAACCCAUAGAUCAUGGCAGGCCAGCAAACGAGGUAGAACAGAUCUUUCGAAUUCCUUGGUGGUGGUGUUGUUUCUCCUGCUCUGAUCAUGGCAAUGUCGUCGUCUCUGUGCAUUUUAUUUAACAGGUGAAUCUUGUGGAGUGGCUUAAACAGAUGGUCGGGAAUAGGAGAACAGAGGAGGUGGUGGAUCCAAAUCUCGAGGCUAAACCCUCGACACGGGCGCUUAAGCGUGCACUGUUAGUCGCUCUGAGAUGUGUCGAUCCUGACUCUAGCAAGAGACCCAACAUGGGUCAGGUUGUUCGAAUGCUAGAAGCAGAUGAAGUCAGUUUAAAUCUUUCGUCUUCUUUCUGUUUAGGUUCCAUGGCAGAAUGAAUCACUGAUGACCACUUAUGUUCUCCACUGAGUAGGAUCGGCAAAGCCGACGGAGCCAUUCAAGAAACAUGGAGAUUGAAUCUUUGAAGAAGAGCAACAGUUUGAGUGACUAAGCAUCGAGAAGAAGAGACGAUUCAGAAGAUCCAUUAUAUAUGUAUAUUUUGCUGAGGAGAAAACAGAGAAGGAACAUGUAAUGUAAGUUUUGGACUCAUCAGGCAUGAGAGAACUCGGUCACUCUUCAGAUGUAUUCGUAGACGCAGUUACCGAAACCUGCAAAAGCGAUGGGUCACACAGGCUUUAGUGCUGCAGAUGAAGAAGCUGCUCAUGAGAAGAAGACGACGCGAGCGCACUCACUGGGGUCGGUCGUCACGACGAGGGCCGAGUUCUUGAAGUAGCAGUUCCAGUAGUUCCGGCCCCUGGACUGGUAGUAGAGGUUCAUGGCGAUGGAGGCGUGGGAGAUGAGGUUGUCUGGGUAGAAACAUGCGCACCCCCGUUGCAGGAUGCUGCAGUCCACUUGAGAGCAGGCGUAGUUCAGGUUCGCGGUGAGGGUGGCUUCGUCGGAAGAAGGCUUCGCCACGCACCAUGUUUUCUGCGAACAGCACUAGGAAACAAUCAAUCUAGCCGCUGCUGAAUGGGUGAAUGGUUCCGGAAUUUACCUGUCCCUGCGCCCGCGCGAGGGGCACAGAGAGGAGUAGGAGAGCGAGGUAGAGAGCAGGGAGGGAGAGGAAGGUGGAUUCUGCUCUCGGAGCCAUGGCCAGCGCAGGGGGGGAAGGGCUCUUGAUUUGCUUUGGGUGAGGUGAGGAAGAAGAGAGGGGGAGGGGAUUUAAAGGGUGACGGGGGCGGAAGCGAAACGGUAAGAGUCUGCAACGGCUAUAUUCUUCACCAUUUGUCUCGGCGCGGAGGGGGAACAGGGAAGACGAAGCGGCGGCGUCUCCGAGAGAGACGAGAAAUGCGCCGCCAUGGCGACGCCGUUAUGGUGUGAAGACGCCACCAUAUUUAGUGCAGGAGUAGCUGCAGAUUGAGUCAUUAUGUCACUCGAUUCGCACGUUUCCGGUGACAUCGAGUAGAUUAAUUAUAUAUUUUUUAUAAUUAAUUUUUUUUAAAAAAAUAUUUUAAUAUUUAUAUUUUUUAAAUAUUAUAUUGAUAUCAGAUAAAAAUAAAAUAUUUAAUCUUAUUUUUUUUCUUACGUCAUUGAUUCUACUGAUGAAAAUACUAUAGGGUUUAUCAUUACGAUAUUUUCAUCGGUAGAGUUGAAGACGUUCGUGAAGAGAAACGAAAUUAAAUAUUUUAUAUAAACUUGGGAGUGAUCGAGCCAACUACUAAAUGAAAUGAGCAUGGCACCAACUCGAUUGGGAGGUCCCAAGAAUUUCUAAAAAUAUAUAUAAAAAUAUAAUUUAUAAAUAAUUUUUGAGAGACUAAAUUUCUUGAUUUAAAAAAGUUAUAAUAAGAAGAAAAAGAUUUUGAAGUGGGAGAACAUAGUGAUCUCAACUGAUUUGACCACAGAACAUUAUUUGACUUUCUCUCUCUCUCUCUCUCACUUAUGGUAGGUUUUUUGAACGUUGAUAUUGUGAGAACGUUGGGGUUUCCACUGAAACCUAACUUGUUCAUGUGUCAUCGUCGACCGUAAGCUCCAUUUUUGGUGUCAUCUUGCGACUGGUCGUCUAUUUCGGGCUGUAUAACAAUUCACGAAGUGGAAUUCUGACCUUCACUCGAUCACCAGUACUUUUGUUUUCCACCUCUUCUUCUCCUCCUCUGAUGCGAUCGGUCGACCACCCGUUGCCACGACGAGUUCGUGACGCUCUCUCUUCCUUUUCAGCUCUUUUUGACCACUUCCUUCCGUCCCUCACCUAAUCGCAUUCCAUCACGUAACCCCACCCGGCACCCAUCAGACCAUCGAGGUGGACCGAGCUUCCAUUCAUGGUGAAGAAGAGUCUAAAUGACGGUGUUGACGAGAAAUAGAGAGUCCCAUAGACAACCGCGUGAGACUACAUGUCUAUUUCUCAUCAGUCUCUCUCUCUCUCUCUCUCUCUCUCUCUCUCUCUCUCUCUCUCACCUUCCUGUCGCCUUCCAUUCGCUGCUGGUAUAUGAAAGCCUUAGGAAGAGAGACACAGGCCUUCGUUGGGAGAUCGAUGGCAGGGAGGAAACGAGAGUGGUUAAGGAAGAGAACGGUGGCGAUGACCUCCGGGAAAGAGCGUGGGUGGAGGCACAGGGUCCGCGUCUUCUCGGCGGCAUGGAGGCGAUGGAGGCAGCACCGCCACCCCGCCCCUCGCCUCCUUCUCCUACUCGACGCAGCCGCCUACUACGUUCUCUGGGUCGUCGAGGCCGUUGCCGUCGUCGCCACGCUCUGCUUCUUCUACCUUCGCUUCGGGUUCCGCCUAUGAGUGAGACGCUCGUUUGGUGCAUCGCGGCAUGCGAUCGACACGUCGAUUACAAGGCCGCGUCGUAGUUAGAUUCUGAAGAGAAACCAUUUGCUGUUGGUCGCGUACGUCCUGUAUCCGUUGUGCUUCUCUUGGAUGCUAUAAUUGCUGCACAUUAAGCUCGCUCUAUAUCUAUAUAUUGGAAGAGAUGCAGCUAUGGAAGAGAGCACAUUUGCAUGGGAACAAACUCGGAAUGUGUUGUUUUGAUGUUGUCUGGAAGUUUAACUUGGAUUCCAUAUUGCCUCAUCCAUUUUGGUCCCUCCACCAACUCUUCAUAGUGUUUAAUCAAGAAACAAGAGCGAGGAGAGAGUAUUGACAUCUGUUCUUCGAGUGUUGUAAUGUCUAAAGGAGGAAAAGGGAUUUGAUUGGUUGGGAGGGAGGGAGGGAUUUUUAUUUUGACAAACAUGAUUGUAUCUUAUAUCUUAGUAUUCCAAUUUUAUCGAAGGAUAGAAAAUAUAUGUAUCUUGUAUUGUGUUUCGGUUCAUCCCUACAAAACAAUGAUGCAUUGAUUCCUGUCUGAGUUUAGUGUAAGAUUGAUUAAAAAUAAUGAUCAUACAAUUUGAAUAAUUGUGAUUAAGGAUAAGGGUUGCUUGUCCCCAUAGCACAAUAUAUAUAUUUUUUUACCUUAACUAUUAUUACUUGGAUUAAAAAAAUUAUGUAGUAUCUAGGUUAUUUUCUUAUUCUUGAUGAAUGCAUCGAAAUGUUUUGGUCAUGUCAGACAUAUUAGAUUUUUUUUUUUCAUUUUAGGUGGAUGCACCACACACAAAAGGUAAACAGUAGUCGAGUCGAGUACUUUGGAUGUUUUUUUAUCUUCGAAGGAUGCAUCACGUAUAGAAGAGAUGCUUUAAACGUGUUAGGUGCUUUGGAAUUUUUUUUUUAAUUUUAUAGGAACACGUUAUUGUUGUUAUUGUAGAAACACAUUGUGUGACUUACAAGUCAAGUUGGGUGUUUCAAAUAUUUCUUUUAUUUUGAACGAAUGCAUCAUGUAUCAAUAAGAUGCCUUAGUCGUCUGUCGUAUGAGGCACUUCUUUUUUUUUUUAUCCUAGAUAAAUAUAUUUUGCAUAGGUUCAUGGGUUCUUAUCGUAGAGACGUAAUAGAGGGAGCACCACCACCACAACCCUUGCAUCCUUCUCCUCCUCGAUACCAUUGUUUACUAUAGUCUAUGGGUCAUUGAUGCUAUUGUCAUCGUCGUCAUGCUAUAUUAUUUGCUCACCAUUACACUACGGGAUUAUGUAUCCGACACAAUGUUUAUUUCAGAAUUUUGAUUAUUAUAACUCGUAUUAGAAAAUGAUUAAAUAGUAUUUUAAUCAAGCAAAAAGGAUGCUUUGGUCGUGCUCGGUGUAGUUGAUAUUUUUUCAUCCGAAUGAAUGUAUCACAUGCAGAAAACAUUUUGAUCAUGUCGAGCAUAUCAAAUAUUCUUUUUUAUCUUGAGUAGAUGGAUCACAAGGAUGCCUUAAUCAUAUUGGACACUUUAUAUUUUUUAAAUGGAUGUUUCGGUUACGUUGAGUGCUUCAUAUAUUUGUUUAGCUUGGGCAAACAAUAACUCGCAAAAGGGAACACUUUAGUCAAAGUCGAGUGCUUCAUAUCUUUUUUAUCCUCGGUAGAUACAUGAUGCACAAAAGAUAUACUACGAUAGUCUUCAAUAUUUCAAAAAGUAGUUGACUUAGAUGGAUCGGGAUGUUAUAGACUCAGAUGGGCGGAGAGAUGAUUAAUCUAGAUUCUCGAGAUGAUAGAAGAUGAGAUUAAGGAUAUUCAUUUUUAUCACUUCUUAGUGAUAUAUUUUUUUUUGGACACGAAAGCUUUAGUUAUGUAUUUCUUUUAUCUUUGAAGUUGGCGUUUUCGGAAGUUAUGUAUUUAGUGAAAUAUAGAUGUUCGAUGCCUAUUGAUGAAGGUGUGGAUUAGUACAAAUCGAUAUGUUUCUAUUAUUUUUCAAAUCUUGUUAUUGUUUCUCUUGACAUAAUCAUCAUGAACAUAUACCUCAUGAACAUAUACCCUACCUUGUCUGCUUUGAAUCUCAAACUCUUUCGCUAACGACCCAAAGCAUCUGAUUGAGAUGGGAAGAAGGUGAGAGUAUAGUUCUCAAUGUUGCCUGAUAAAAGUAGUUGAAAAAACUUGAUACAUGAGGAUGCUAAAGAUGACAUGUAAGAUCAUUUAUGUCUUGCCGCCACCAGCGCGCCGGCCACCGCGGAGCCGAAGAAGGAGGAGAAGGAAGAAUCCGACGAGGUGGGGCUCCCUCCCAUCGUUGUUAUACCACGAGCCAAGCAAAAGAUGGGUUCCUUUUUCCUCGCCUGCUAACUGUUUGCUCAUUUAUCGUGGGGGUUUUUUUUGGUGUUUGUGGUGGCAGGAUAUGGGCUUCUUCAGCUUGUUCGAUUAGAGAGGCAGUUGGGCGUUCGGCAUUUCUUGGACGUGACCAUUUCUUUCUUUUUCUUUUCUUUUUCUGUGAUCGAAUAUUGUUUAUGGUGCAAUGAACUCGGACUUCAUGAAAAGUAGUUUUCAUUAUUUUCAUUACACCAAAAUCAAAUUAGGAGACUUGUACUAUUUUGUGUAUUAUGCUCCUGGGAAAAUACGAUUGAGAACAGGCACUGAAGGUGAGCAAGGUGGGGUGUUGUGUUCUUCGACUCCCUUUUCAUCGGGUUACUACUACUUGAAACCAGGGCCCAGUGUGAUGAGCAACCCCAUAAGCUAAUACUACAAGUAUGAAGAAUUAACCGGAGAGUUGAUGAUAUCAAGCUCAUUUGUUGAUGUUGCACGCUUGAAUCAUUUGUUGCUCCUACCGAAACAACAAAAAGAAAAUGUUAAGGAAACCAUGAGCACUAUGGUAUUAGUAUAUCAGUGAUCCGGGGAGGAGGUAUAUAUCUAUCUGAUAUUAGUAUUAGUUGUUGACAUGCUAAUUGUCAACCCAGUAUCACUGAAAAAUUAAAUACAUGUUUGGCGUCAAACUACUGAUUAUGUGUCUGAAAAUAUUCAUCAAGAUGGCCCUGGGAAUUCUAUUUUUUUUUAGUUAGUAACCAUCUGACUUCAUAGAUUUCUUAAUUAUAUCAUUUAAUGGAAUGCUGGUCUAUUUACCUUAAGAUCCUUUCUAAAUGAUCAUUUUAACUUGUCUAUUGAUGUAUGUAUGCUACAAGGAAAAUAUAGUUAAUAACAACCAUAACUACGAUCUUAUAGUUUAUAUGAGAAUUGGCAAGUUUAAAUUGGAGAUCUUGAUAGUCACUUCAAUGAGGUAAUUCUAGUAGCUACAAAACUCAUUUAGCAUGGAGAACCUCUUGAACGUAAGGUUCUCCAUGCUCAUUAAAGACGAGGACGUCUACACCUUUGCAUCAUAUGUCAAAAUCAGGUGAAAGAGAAGCCAACAAGAACCAAAAAUUUAUGAAGAUUGACCCAUUUUUCAUAGCUUCGACUGUCGACGUACCUACAUAGGUUUAAACUCUAGCAUGAAAAGCAGCAGUUCGAUGAAAUACUAUUAUUAUGAAAGAAUACAUCAAAUUUGUUCUAGAAUUUAUUGUUAUAUCAAAAGAACAAAGAAAUUCAUCAAGCAGCAGAAAUGAUAUGAUGAAUACCCCAAGCAAAAAAAAAAAAGCAACACGCACCUGCAUUCAACUUUUGUCUUGAGUGUGGCAUUGGGAAAGAUAAUUGGUCACUUCAUUCAAAGCUGCAAUUGCGCAUUUAUUAGCCAUUGGAUUAUUGUAUUGCCUUUUUCUAUGGUCGAAUAAAUUGGUUACCUGGGAGGCGUCGGAAAUCAGGUUCUAUUCCAUCUCCAUUAAUGUCCUUGUAAUUUGGUGUGACAUAUUUUCCAAUGGUGACAACCACACCAGAUCCAUCAUCAAGCUCAUAAACAGAUUGUAUUAAGCCCUGCAUGUCAUUGGUUGAGUGCACAUCCUGAUGUGUGGAAAUAGGCAUAGAGAAGGAAGGCUUGUUCAAACCUUGCCAAAAGUCCUUUCUCCCACAAGAACAGCUUUGCAAUUAUCAUGAAGUGCUGUAGCAACCUAUAAAACAAGUUGUUUCAUUGCACCGACGCACUUUAAGCAUGAGAUCUUUAUCAUCAUAGGGAGUAGGAGAUUUGGACAACUUACUAUUUCACUUGCACUUGCAGUCCUGUUAUUUACCAGAACCUGCAUGAAAACUGUCAUUGAUUAGCCUCCAUGCAUGUCAUCGUUGAGCUCCUAAAAAUCCAGGAGAAAAAGAAGUAUGCAAUAGGUUAUUUCUCAAACAACUCAUACAACAUGAUGAGGAGCACAACAGAGCUUUAAGUCUUAUUCAUUGCCUCACAUAUCUCGUGGAUGUAGAAUGUAAUCUGCUAAAAAUUAUUGAAUGGUAAGCAUUCUAUGCAGUCACAAAAAAGAAACGUGGGUAGGGAUAUAUGUACAUUUCACCAAACAAAAAAUUCAAGAGAUCAGUAAGUUUGGGUAUGUAAUUGUUCAGAAUGAUGAGAAAAUUUAGUUUGGGCAUGCAAUGACAGAAGUUUAUAGGAGCCACUGUGCAACUUAUGGAUUUUGUAGGAGAUUAGAAUGUUCUAAAGCCAAUGAAUGGGUUCACAAUACUAAUCACUAUGCUCUUAACAGAGAUAACAAUUCAUUCUUCUAAGAGUAACUUUCAAGUACCCCAUGAAUUUGUUCAAUUUAUAAAAGGAUGUUCUAUGUUUCACCAUGGAAGUCAAAUAUUGGCACGUGAUUAAACCAUCCCAAGGAGUAUGAUGACCUCACCAAGCAAAUAUCACCUAAUAAAGAAAUCAAAUUUUGCACAUGCAAAGACAAUCAACAAUUGAAGGAAGAACUACAAUACCCACCCAUGAGGCUCUCACCUUAGCAAGAAUGGGCAUUGUAACAACUUUUAAUUAGAUUCUCAUAAGAGUCUUCCAAGAAUAUUGCAUAUCCUAUAUCGUGUUAGCUUAGUCAAUUUUUAUAACAAUGUAUUUCAAGUUUCCUUCAAUGGCAAUGCAGUCAUCUCAUCUGAAAAAAAGCUAAGUUGCAUCCUAUAUGACAAGUUUCAAUCUAUAGUAUAUACUCAAAAAGCCAGAACUGUAAAAAUGUUCAAUACCAAAGAAUAGUGAAGGUUCACAGCAAUAAGAAAGUCAGUCAGUGUAUCUACUCAUCUCACUUGUCAAACUAUGACAUUACAUACUUCACUAGGAUUGUUACAAAAAUUAGCCUAUGGAGUACUGUACAACUAUGGCUUUAGAGUUCAUGGUAUCACGCGAACAAAAAAAAAUGGCUAACAUUAAACUAUGUUAAUUAAAAGCAAAGAAACAAGACUGAAAAGAAAAACAUACAAUCAGAGGACUGGUAAUGAAGGGAGAACUUUCUGCAACAAUACUUUUCUGGACUUGAGGAUCCCUACCGACUGUAUGGAUAACCUGAAAUAAGCCCAAGACAGUAAAUCAUAUUGUACAUACAACAAGAAUAGAAAUUUAAGUUAAACCUUCCAAAAUGUAGAAAUAUUAAUAUUUAAAAUCAUAAUAUAAAUUUCAUCUUGAAACUACUGUAUAACCAAUCUAGAUAAGAUUUGUUCAAACAAAGCUGAGAAAAGUAUGACAGAAAUGCAUGUUCUUUUUUUUUUUUAAUAAUACUUAAAUCAUUUUUCCUGUGACAUUGACCAAGAUAUUAACCUUUUGCAAGUUCUUUUUUCCAUUAGUGCAAUAGGGUUGUUAUGAUAGAACCAAGAUCUAUCAUUUUGAUCAGAGGUUAAAUAAAUCGUCAAAACAAUAAUUAGCCUAAAAAGAUUAGGACAUUUCUUAGAAAAUGGAAUCUCCAUGGAUGUGAAUAAAAUGAAACACUUUCUUUCAUAUAUUCGUACAAUUGAGAAUUAAUUUUUUUUGUUGGAAGAACGAAGAAUUAAAGAAGCAAAAUAUUUAAAAUUUGUAUCUUAUUUAAUUACAACCAAUCCAAAUAGUCAAUCAAUAGUACUAAUUGCUUUACUUCCUUGGCCCAUACCAGAAGCCAUGAACAAAAACAUAAAUAAAAAGAUAUAAUUUUCCUCAAUAUAAAUGCUCUUAUUGACCCAUUCACUUCCCUGCUGCCUAAUCCAGUAUAUUGGACAACAAUCAAGCAUCCAACUUCUAAGUUUAAAACACUAAGGCAAUUUUGGGAAUUCAGGUUAGGAAGCAUAGUGAUGAAUGAAGAUGACAAAUGCUAUAUAUAUCAACAACAAUCACACAAAAAUUUGUGACAACAAGGUAUAGGCAAACAGAGCUACUCUCAUGAACUUACUGAUUACAGCAACAUAGUCACUUAAGUGCAAUGUAGUGAUAAACUGGUUAAAAACCCUUGUAAGAUUAUUUGUUUUUGUAAUAAAUUGAAGUAGGCAAAGCUUCCAAAUUUUAUGUUGGACAUGAAUUAAAUGGAUUUGCAAUAUUAACCUGGAUGUGGUCAAUCCCAACCACUAUGGACCAAAAUUGGCAACAUUCAACCCAAAGGCACCAAAUUGCCACGGAUUUGAGAUCUAGGCCUCAAAAACAGUCAAAAUCGGCACAUGCCAAUUAGUUCAGCAGACACAUCAAUUCCUGGUGAUCCCAGUUGGAUAUGCCAAAAACAAUGGCUUGAAAGAGACCAAGGUAAGAAUGGAGAUAUUUAAGAACUAGCUCAAGAGACCAUUUCAAACAUCACCACAAGUCCAAACUUCUUUUGUCACACCUUAAAGUAUCCCACAUUGCAUUUUUGGCUUAAGUUUGUGAUAGUAUAUGUCACUAAUCACCCCCCAAAGAGCAACCUUUGAUUAAACCUUUUUGAGGCUUAGCCAACAUGGUAACUGAAGCUCUGUCACUAUCCAAUACAAGAUUCGUAACCAUUCAUGGUUUGUAGGACAUAUUGGAAAAUUUUGCAUAUUCGGUGAAAUUUUGGUUUGACAGAGAUGAGUACCAGGUAGGAUAGCAUUGUUGUCAUGGACCAUAGGGCCUCUGGACCCCACAUCACCUACAAGAGAACCUAUUAGUCCACGCACCCCUGCUUUACCUACAGGAAUUUUUGACAGACUGUGAUGUGAUAGAAUGUGGCAUGUGUUUGACUUGAUGAAAGCAUUAGGAUCUAGUUAAAAAGAUUGUAACAUCUCAAAAUAGUCCCAUCUUGCCUAUAUGCUAAGGAUUUUGCAAUGGAAUUAGAGUCACCACUCACCUCAGAAACAACCUUCGGUGUAUUCCUUUGGGGGGGCUUUUUGAGUUGCGACAUCUUUAGGGAUCAAAUCCAACUAAAUUAAAGCUUAAGCCAGAUCAGGCCCCACUCGAAGCAAGGAGUCAAGAUUCUAGCAGUCAUCUAUUGGUAGUCUUUCCUAGCAAGUAGGGGCAUUUCUAUUAGAUGGACUUCCUAUCAGAUAACAACACUUUGAGAAAACCACCUAAGAAUUCAGCAACUAAAAAUCAUAAUCAGGAAGAAUUAAAGGAUUUAUGGGAAAGAGAGACAACUUGCCUUGCUCCCAAGUUUCUUAAUGAAGCUACCAUCCAAAUGAACCUCAAGUUACAUUGUCAUGGUCUGUGAAACCAUGCCAGCAAGAAAAAGAUACUAUGAGCUUGAGGAAACUACCAUCGAAGACAUAGGAAAAGAAAAGAACGCAAGAACAAUAACAAAAAAGUGUUUCUAUUUUAAUGAUGAUAAAAAUAUUAUAAAAUAUAUUAGCAGAACAAUUUGGUUACCUACCGUUUCUCCUUUGUUCAAGAAAAGCUUCGAAACCUCAAUUCCAGCCUAGGAAAACAACUACACUGUUAGGUUUGAGAAACCAAAAAAUAUCAGUUCCACUGUCUUUCAAGACCAAUAUGCUGAUAAAAUGGCAUGUGACAAUUAACAACAUACAAGUUGCUAGGACAUGUAAAAUGAGUUUCUAUAGAACACAAGAUACUGAAAAUUAAUGAUACACAAAUCAGGCAGGAAUUAAGAAAAGCAUAAAAAAUUAAUGAUCAGAAGCAAAUUUUACAGUACUGACAAGGAACUGUAGUAUAAUGAAAAAUUGCAUUCCAUGAAGCAUAUUGAUAUGCUGUAGUGCUUAUACUUGUAUGCCAUCAGUGCAUACUGUUCCACUCAAAAGUCACACCAUAGAGAUUACAUGGAAACAUAAUACUCAUUGACAUAAAAGGAUGGUUAUCUAUCUAAAGGAAGGCUUAUAACCAAUAGAAUCAAUGAAUUUUUUCUUUAUUUUCUUUCAGUUCUCCAUUAAUUUUUUUUCCUUAAGGUGCAGCUACACACGACCACUUCAACUGUAACAUAACCUUUUACAAUCAAUAAGUUGACUGUAGAAGGGUGAUGAUAACAAUUUGUAAGAAAGUUUACAGUGUUCAACCAAGAUCCUUAUUGCAAUGACAACAGCAUAAGGGCCCCUUUUCUUUCCUUUUGCUCCCAAGUUUGACGAACUAAACUAGUAAACUUCAACUUUUUUGUAACUUCUACAUUCCAAAUUUUUACACAGUUAGAUUGCUCUAGAUUUUAGAUUAAGUAGGACUAAAAUUGAAUAUAUGAGAUGCAAUUUUAGUAAUACUAGGAAUAGACAAAAGAAUAUAGUUAAGUUGGAUGGGAAAGAUAUUCCUUUAAGUAGAAACUUUAGGUAUCUUGAAUUAAUUAUUCAAUAAAAUAAAAAAAUUGAUUGUAAUAACAAGAUGGUUAAAAUGGCGAGGGAGCGUCAAGAGUUUUGUGUGAUCACCGGAUACCUUUGAGACUAAAAAAAAUUUAUAAGAUAGUUAUGAAACCAAUUGUGUUUUAUGGCUCUGAAUGUUGGACAAUUAAAAAACAAUAUAUAAAAAAAAUUUGUGUUGUUGAGAUCAAUGUAUGAAGUUACUAGAAAAGAUAUAAAAAAAAUAUUUUAAUUUGUGAACAAUUGGGUAUCGCUUUAAUAGAUGAUAAGAUGAGAGAGAAUCAUUUAAAAUGGUAUGAGCAUGUGCUUAAAAGACCUAUGGAUGCAGUAGUUAGAAGAAACGAAAUGAUUAAAGUUAGUGGUAAGAGGAGAGGUAGGGGAAGAUCUAAAAAACCUUAAUAGAAAUUAUAAAUAAAUAUUUAAAUAUUCUAAACUUAAUUAAAUAUAUGACGUUUUACAUAUCUCAAUGACGAUAAAAGAUUCAUGUAGAUCCCAAAUAGUUGGGACUUACGACUUUAUUAUUGUUAUUGUAUGGUCUAAGCCACAUUCUAGUAUUCUACAUUUUUAAGGUUUCCUUUAGCAGAGGUCCAUGUUCAGCCAAAAAUCCCAAUCAGACAGAACUACCAAAAGGUAACUAUCUUAUUACCUUGCCUAAGGAAAACUUAUCACUCUCUGGGUCUUUAUAUUGUGCUAAGAUUUAAAGAACAUUUUCAAAUACAAAAAUAUUAAAUGAAGAAGAGUGGGAAAUAUCAAAUUUGAUAUUCAAGAAAUUUCCAUAAGAAAACAACGAGUUCAAAAGAAUCAAUUUCCCAAAAAAUUUAAAGAUAAUAUAACAGCUCAAGAAACCAAGUUGACAAGGGCAUACAGGGAGAAAAAAAAAUCUCUACUAUGAAUUGUCAAGUAUAAUGGUAAAUUUUUCAAUGUUACUUCAAAUAUAGGGGAUCUUUUAACACCAUAGCACUGACAGCAGAGAUAAAAGUCUCGUUCAAGUGGGGUAAAAGGAAGUUUAUACAAUAUUUCUAAAACAAUCUAACUUCUAUACCAGUAUUGACACAUGGCCUUCCAUGGCCAGUGACAUAAAUCACCAAAGAUGAGUCUCAUACAUGUAAUGUAACACAUAUAAGAUACAUCCUAUUCAACCUAUUUAAAAGUGUGACCGGUGACAUAAAUCACCAAAGAUAGAGUCUCGUACAUGUAAUGUAACACAUAUAAGAUACAUCCUAUUCAACCUAUUUAAAUGUGUUGUCUGUUUGCAGACAAUUGAACCCAAUCUAAAUUGGACAAUUCUAGCUAAUCUAAACUGAUCUUACACAAGAGAGAGGACAAACCAGGCAUGUUACGGGAAAACCAGGAUACUUUGGUCAAUCAUGAUGUGGAAUAGUAACAGUGAAUUUAUUUCAACUUUCAAUCUUCUCGGCAAUAAUCCAGUCAAUAAGAGUUGCCAACAAAGAUGUGAAAUAAUAAAAUCAAAAAUCAAGUAAUCCAUCACUUCAAGAAUGAUAAAGUUUAAUAGUUUAGUUACAGCACUGACUUUACUGAUUAAAGUAAUUGGCUGAGUGACCACAAAGACUUGGAAACUGGUAUACCUGCACAAGACCACCAAGAUUAUCCUUAAGAUCCAAAAUAAAGUACGAUGCCCCAGCAGUUUGAAGACGUUUUAAUGCUGCAUAUGGAGAAGUAUAUAAAUCACAACUCCAAAUCCCUAUAUAAACUAGGCGAAGUUGAAAUUGAAUAAAUGACUUUUACUGGAAUAUCCUAUAUAUGAAUGCAUGACUUUCCAAAUCAAUUUGAGGAAAUACUAAAAACAUAAUAAAUUCAUUAUUAUACUUUUCUGAAAUUAUUAAAAGCAGGGAUCUGGCAUACCAAUAACCAAAUCUUUUUUUGCCAAUGCAUUGAAUUCUUUUAUAUGUAUGUAUCCAACUGAGAUGUCUCCAUCAUCAAAUUUUUCCAGACGAUAGAAAACAGGAGAACGAGCAACAAGUUGUCUUUCAACCUUCAUAGACUGGAUAGGGCCACAAUUUCCAUGUUUAACCUACAAGUAAGGUCAGAUGAGUUUGCAAUUUAUAAUAAUUCCAUCGAAUUAAUCAUAUGCAUUGAUUGUAGCACAACCUCAAUUGUAACAAAUGUUUCGUGUGGACCUUGUAGCAGAGAGGAAACAUCAAAUGCCGACAUCCCUCUUACAUCUACACCAUUAACUGACAAAAGCUCAUCACCCUUUACAAAAACACAUAAAAUUGAAUGAGCAACAAUAGUCAACUAACGCUGGAAGAAGCACCUGCUUUCAUCAUAAUAAGAUAACCUAAAGAUCAACAUAAUCCAUGAUAACUAGAUGAAUACUUGUAAGACAAACAAUACUGUAAGGUGAGACUCUAAAUCAAGAUCACGUGUGUCAAAAGGAACACAUAAAACUAACAAAAAGUUAGGAUCUUCCACGGACCACAGUUUAGCUCUCUGAAUAUAUCCAUAGGAAAAAAUAUAACACAUUUUGCAUACUUCUAUCUUAUAUUGUUCAAAUAUGAUUCCAUUGAGAUUAUUUUGUAUACAAAAGUGUGAAUUUCAAUAUCCUGCAAGACAUCACAUGCAAAUAGCCAAUCCUACGACUUCCAUCAUGCCAUUUCUCAUUAAAACAAUGAGAAGAAGAUGAGUGUUCAAGAGAUGCAAACAUGUACUUCAAUUUUUAAUAAAUAUCUCCAAAACUGGAGAAGAAACAUAUAGAAGUUAAAUCAAACAAAAUAAUAGAUGUAGUUUUUAAGUAGGAAUAUCUUAAUUCUCUGUGAUUACUUUCUCUUUAGAAUGUAAAAUAGAACAUAUGCAAAAGACUGUCUGCUUCUCAUUCUAUUCUUUAUAUGACAAAUCACACAUUUGUCACAUUGAUAACCAGAUCUAUAGUAAAUUGCAUAGCUCUAAUUGGAAGAAAGAGGUUGUCAUAUACAAUAUUUUCAACAACAAUUUUCUACUAAUGCAGACAAAGAGCAGUGGAAUCUUUGUUAUGAAUCGCCAUGUAUUGCUACUCAGUACUUAGUAAUCAAAGCAAUAUACAAGGACUAAGUCACAAACUGGAAAAAGAUCAAUUGCUAAAUUUAACUGUAAAACAAAGUGAUAUAAACAUAAUGACUCCUGGUCCAAAUUAUUGCAAAAAAUAUAUCAGUGUACUCAAUCCCCCCAGUGAAAUUAAGAGGAAACAAUGAGGAAUUAGAAGUCAAAAUAAACAACACCUUGGGAGAGGUAGGUUAUAUGUUUCAACCAUAUGACAUGAUCCUUUGACUGGUAUCAAUUUCUGAUGAGUAAUAAUCAAAAGUACUUGGGGAAUUAAUUAAUAGUUAUAUGUAUUAUAUAGUCAAAUGACAAGGAUAUCUAGAAGAGGAUUAUGUUUCACCAAGGUAACUCUGUUUGCCUGUCUAGAACUACACACUACAUUGACCAUAUAGGUGAAUGACAAACAUAUGCAGCAUGCUCAACUGACCUAAAAAGCAUAAAUAGAAUGAAAAAUUACCUGUCUCACUCCAGCAGAAUAAGCAGGACCAUCUAGUAUAAUCCCCAGAACCUUCAUCUUUACAGUACCUUUAUCAUCAGGAACUUCCCUCAGAUUUAUUCCAAUCCCAGUAACAUCAUACUUUGCCAUCUUUGAGAACUUUGAUCAACGAUAAAAGUACCAAAUGCCAACAAACAUGAAAAUUGCAAUCCUUGUCAUUAUACACAGAAAUGAGAUUGUCAUGAGUUGGUCAAAAAGGAAGUACAAUCUAAAUUGAUCCAAAGCAACCAGAGAAUUCAUUCAAAAGCACAUAUGAACAGGUAGAUAAUGUUGCUCAGUCACAAGUUUGACAAUCAAUGAAUAAUUCAGCUAGACUAGUAAAACAAAAGAAAAUUGGAAAAUAAAAUAAAAUGAUAAAUCAAGCAAAAGUUUAGCAAAGAUUCAUUAAAAAUAUAAAAGGAGUGAUUACAAAAAGAAAAUUAUUUGAUAUUUUUUUAUGAAUAUUCCUAUAAAUGAAAAAAAAAAGACCAACAAUGAAAUACCUCCAUUGAGAUAUGAACUGACAGUUCCCAUAGAUUUAUUUUAGUUAGACAUAUCACAAAUUUAGUGCUAAUUUACAUAGCAUUGAACUGACAGAAAUAAUAGUCUUCAAAAGAACUCCAUUUUCAAGAGACGAGGAGCAUGAAGUGCAAAGCAAAAUGAUAACAUUGUUUGCACACUAGAACCAAUUUGUAUCUCUGAGCCCUAUUACAAGUGCAACCUUGAAGAACAGACUAUGCAAAGUAAAAGUGCAUUAUACAAAACACCAAGCAUGAACCGGAAAUAUUCGCAUUAAAGCAAUGAAUCUACCAUAGAGUAAGAUUCUAAGCACUCAUCUAAUGGUAAAGAUACUCACAGAAGUGCAUAAUUAAUCAUUUUCAGAUAAAGAUUUGUUGAUCUCGAUUAAGUCUCAGCAUUUCCCUCCUGAACUCUCUGGUGAAAAGUUGAGAAAUGUACUCAUGUAACUCUAUUCUAGGUGUUAAAAGUUAUAAGACACCUAAUUUUUGGGCAAAAUUAGGUAAUUAUUCACUUUUUAUGAUGACUUUUUCUUAAUGACAACAAAUUCAUGAUCAAAAUAACAAAGAAAAGAAACCUGUGGACUAUAGAAUGACAGAUCUGCUACGUGCUUAUUAGCAUCACUUACUUCUGCAGGAGAAAGAAACCGGGUAUAGGGAUCACCCAGACUAGCCAGCAUCUUCUUGAUUACAUCAUGAGCCCUGGAUCUUGUUUGUAUUUUGCUAUCAAGGAUGUCUUGUUUCUUUUGCUAUGUCAACAAAAAUAGUAUUUAGAAAACAUUGAAGAUGCUCGUAUUUAUAAGUAGAAAUGAAAAAAAGAAAAUGGACUUUUGUCAUAUAAGCAUAGUAACUAAUUGAAGACUUCAAGUGUCAGAUGUUCAAAAGAAGUCCGAGGAUUUGAUAUGCUAAGCAAAAUUAGAAAGGGUAAUGCCAUGGAUGAGACUCGCAUCAAUAUGAGGUCUUGGAGUGAUCAAUGUAUAUAGUAUUACCCCAAGUAGAGAGCCUAACUUUGUACCUCAAAAUCUGAUCAUCCUGGCUACAGGAUAGUAACCUUACCAUGGUGAGAAGACCCACCCUCUUAUAAGUUGAGUGACAAAUUAAUAUUGCAGCAAGCUUGCUCACUCGAUCACACAGAAAAUAAGAAAUUUAUUUUGUUAUCUUACAGAUUAAAUGACCACAAACUUCUUCUGCUUGAAUCAUGUCAUUCUAAUCAAGUCCCUUCUGAUUUUUUAUUUUUACUUUCUUUCAUUCUCUUUGUUAGUCACCAUCCAUUUGCAAGUGCUAUGAUCAUUCACAAAUAAAAUUAUUUCUUUCUAAAUUAUUUCUUCUAAGUAUUCCUAUCUUCUGGUUCUCUUUUUUGUCUCUCAAAACAAACCUUGAGUUUUUCUGAAUAAACCACUUAAAUUUGCUAAUGGCGAUAUUAUAUUGCUACGUCUUCAAUUAUGGCAUCUAGUACACCUCCUCUAAGACCUCUGAAUGGUCAAGCCAUUCUUCAUGUCAUUUCUUACUAACUUGGAAGAAGUUGAACACAGAAUAGAUAGCUUGAAUAAUUGAAAAUAUAUGGAGAUAAUUGUGUUCUUGAUGGAAACUUAUGUUAAGCUUUCUGAUUUACCUCUUUGUUUCCUCAGUUAGCAAAUCCAAUUUGCAUAGCAGACAUCUACUGGAUAGGAUGACAAGACACCCAAACUUAGCUACGCAUUCUUUCUUCCAAACAGGGUGAUCAAUAGUGUCAAUUAAUUAGCAACUGAAUCAUAAAUUUUGUUCCUCGUUUCUGUCACAUACCGUAUACAUAACACUUGAAUAACUCACCCAUCUCAUUGUCCACAAAAACUUUCUUCAAAUGUCUCUUCUCCACUUACAAUCUCUUCAUUUCUCUCACUAAUAUAUUGUAUUAAUAUUAAAAUAAUUACUACUACGCUCGACCAUAGUAAUUAACGAUAUGACUCAGAACUACUCAAGAAUACAUGCCUACCACUGACUUGUUGAUUCUGCAUCAGAUUACAUCAAGAUCAAGAAAACCAAGAAACAAAUGCAUCUACGUUAGCCCUGAAAUAUUUCUUCCCCUUAACCAAGAAAAUCUUAGAGAGAGAGAGAGACGAUAGUUCAAAUGAUACCAUCCACUUCUCUGGGGACCAAGAGCGGCCCCCGGCGUCCGGAAGGAAGCUCUCGUUGACGACCUCCCACGCCUCCUCGACAAGGCCCUCGUUCGUGAUCGAUUCCGGCAGCACAUCAGUGGAGGCCAUCUCGCCAUCAUCUUCUCGACAGAGGUCCGAGGUGGGCGGCGGGAGAUCAACCAGCGACGGAAUCUCGACGGCCGCGGCGUCAAAGAGGGAAAGCGAGGCGGCGAGGGAGAAUGAGAGGGCACCGGCAACCGCCCGGAGAAGAAUAUUCUGGAAGCAUCGCGAGAUUCCCAUGCCGGGAUCGUCGACUUGCUGUUUGCGACUCUUGAUACCGAGAGUGCAAUUAAUGGAGUAGGGGGAGGAGGCCAUCGAUAGGGGCUGGGUUCUCGGUGGAGUUCGCGGUGCCGAUGGCGGCAGGGGGAGUGAGCAAGAAGAGAUCGACCUCAUCGUUAUGUUGUCCCGAGACGAUUGGUUUCCUUCCAAUCACUCGUAUCGGUGGAGUCGCGAAGAAAAAGGAAAAUGCCAGGGAAAAAAUUUGGGCGAAUUUCUUAAAAAAAAAUAAAAAACUAUUGUUUUUUUCUAAGAGCUACUUUAGUAAAUCAGUUCAUGGAUUUUAGAUGAAUAACAAGGAGAAUAUCAUCGGUUAAUCCUUACAUGACAUAUGAUAAACGUUACUCUCUUUCUAUUUAUCCACUUAUACAAAGGUUAAAGAUAAAGAUAAACAGUUAUAGGCUUUAUCGCUUACAUAGAUAAAAAGUUAACAAGUGAUUGUUAGAGAUAGUCGGAGGUUAUCUUUUUAUAAAAUAUUUCAUCGAUCAAAUAUAAAAGUUUAUAUUCAAUACAAUAGAAAAGGAGAUCACUUUUUGACCACUCGCGUCUGCACUACCAAUUUGAACAUCGAAGGGAUUGAGUUAGGAAAUUUCUCUUAAUCUCGAUCUUUGUGUAUGUGAUACCUCAAGAGCUCGAUGUUUUUACUUGGGAGGUAUCUCAAACAAUCCUGCACGUAUAAGUCUGGACCACGUAGGAUUGACUAGGAUGUCAAUAAAUUCUUCUUAUAAUAUUUUUGGCAUUAGGAGGGUUCAAUGUCGUAGAAGCACUCGCUUAUAGACCAUCUCAAUGAAUGCUUCAGUAAAUAUAUUUUACUCUUGAGCCACAAUACUUGUGCCCAAGGUUGGUAGCAACCAUUCUUUCUGCACAAAAGUGCAUCAACCUUGAUUCAGACAUUGAUACAAUAUUGACGUCUAUUCAACAACUCAAGCCUCUCACCUCCAGGGAUGACCCCGAGCAACAUACUUAUCCCCGAUAUGGUAUUCUUAAAUCUCACUCAAGAAGUGUAGAUACGAAUAAGUAUGAUGUAGGUCAUCGCUUUGCUUUUUCUCCGGUUAGCCCAACAAGUGAUACCAUUAGCUCGGCCAUAGUCACCAACUCAAUUGCCACCAACACUAACACUCAUCAACUUUGAAAUUCAAUGGAUCGCACCACCACUCUACCCUACCUAAAUCCGAGGCAUAAUCGGUGGAGUCGACGAAGGAUUUCCUAUGAGUCCAACUAUAGUAGAUAGACCAAUAUUUGGAGAAGAUGUGAUGAUAAUUAUAAUAAUAAAAAGGGGAAGUGUUGAUCGACCCCAUCUCAGGUUGGUUACUAUUCAUCCAAAAGAAGCCAAUUCCAAUGAAUUUUCGUCUCUUAUCUUUGGAGGUGCUUGAUGAUAGUGCUAACUCAAUGGAGCAUAUUAUAGCCUUUCGUGCCCAAAUAUUAUUGUAUGAUACUUCGGAUACCCUAAUGUGUCAUACCUUCCUAAUCACAUUAAGAGGCUUAGCAGAUGAAUGGUAUGUCUGCCUGAAGUCACUUUCCAUCAGUUCUUUUACUUAGCUCACAAAAGCGUUUGAACUUCACUUCAUCAUCAAUAGCAAUACUCCUUAAACUCAGGUAAAGAGAGGAAUAAACACUCGCAGUCUUCAUUAUUCAAUUCAUGAGUGAGAUUUGAGGCAUGCUAAACUUUUAUCAUUCAUAAUACAAACCUUUAUAAUGGGGCUAAAGCCCUCUCACUUUUUUUAGUGAUUGAUAGAGAGACCACCGACAACUAUACCAAAGACACUUUAAAUGAUCAAUCAAUACAUUGCUAUCGGGGCAAUAGUCUUGGACAAACGUGAAGAGGUCGAAACAGGAGUGGCUACAAUUAGCCCUGACCCCAAGGUCACUUUAGCGAAAGAGAAAUGAAUAACCCUAGUAACAUCAUCCAAGGUCCAAGCUGACCUCUCUAAAUAUGACUAGAAUUGAAUGUUUUCUACAAAUAAAAGAGAAAGUAUUCUUAAAAGACCAUCACCCAAUGAAGACCCUGUUGGCAAAAAGAGACAAGUUUAAAUACUGUUGAUUCCACUGAAUUACAAUCACGACACAAAGGAUUGUCACUACUUGAAAGAGUAGAUCAAGGAGUUGAUCUAUUGGGGACACCUCAGAUGGUUCAUCCAAAAGCAUUGAGAACCCUCAUUAACCUUAGGGACCAAUGGAGAGGUCGAUUAAUGUCAUAAUUAGUAGACCUACCCUAAGGGAGAUAACUCCUCGGAUCGUAAGGCUUAUACAUGAGCUACCAUCACAAAGUACUCAAGGAUAAAGAACUACCCGAAAAUAACCUUCAAGGGGGAAAAGACGGAACACCUCAACCUGAAUCAUGAUGAUGCUUUGGUGGUUUAUAUAAGGAUGAUCAAUACUCGAUUGAAGAGAGUCACAAUUGAUACAAAAACAAGCCUUACUCCAAAAUAAUAAUGACUAAAUUUAUGAUGGUGGAUAUCCCUUUGGUGUACAACGUGAUCAUACCCUAACCCACACUAAACAAACUAAGGGCAGUGAUGUCGCCCUAUCACAUGAUGAUAAAUUUUUCAAUAAGAGAGAGGUCAAAACUUGUUGCCUUAAAAUGAUAAAAGGGAUUGUGCUAUUGAGGACAUGCUACAUUAUAAAUUUAAAGAAGUUAUACCCUUAAGGCAUCCCUCGGAGUCAGGUCGGGAUGACUAUAUCUUGAGCAUCAAGCCUUGAUCUACUAUGUCUUCAACGCCAAUUGUAAAAAAGAAAAAAUAUAUUUUUAGGUUAUAGGUGUUAUAAGUUGAGAAAAAAAAUUACAUUACUUAAAAGGACUAUACCAACUUGGUCGAGUCUCUAUAAUAAGAAACAUUUCAUGACAUGAUGUAUAAGAUAAAAUAUGUCCAAAGCACAUGAGUCAGAAAAACUCGAUCCACGUAAGAAGAAACUCACUACGAUGAGAGGCAUAAGAUAAAAUGUGUCCGAGGCACAUAAGUUAGGAAAACCUUACCUAUGCAAUAAAAGAUUCAUCAAUAUGGGAGGCUCAAAACAAAAUGUAACCGAGGCACAUGAGUUGAAAAAACCUAACCCACAUAAUAUGAAACCUACCAUGGUUAGAGGCACAAUAUCAAAUGUGCUCAAGGCACGUGAGUUGAAAAAACCUAACCUAUGUAAAAAGAAAUAUGUCAUGGCAAAAGGAACAAGACGAGAUGUGUUCAAGACAUGUGAGUUAAGAAAACUCGACCCGCAUGAGAGUAAAUACAUUAUGAUAGAAGACACAAGAGAAAGAAUAUUCGAAGCAAAGAGGUCGAGCAUUGACCCACUUCUUUACUUAAAGUGCAUAGCCCACUACCUAACAUAACCCAUCGGCCUAGAGGCUAAAAAAAAAAUGCAGGCACCUCAAAUAGAGACGACCUCCCUCCGCCCAAGGUGGGUCCCUCAAUGAUGGGUGGGGCAAGUCGAUGAUAGGGAGCUUCGUAGCAUCCCUGUUGUGGACCCAUUGCCUACACAAUGUGGUUCCCUCAAUAACGAGUAGAAGAGGAGCCCACCUUAACACCUCCUAUAGCAUACCUUGACUCAUCUCACAUCUCACCUUGAUGACGAGUAGAAGAAGAGGGUUAGGUCAUCGAUGGGGGGCUUCACAACAUCCCUGUUGUGGACUCGUUACCUGACGUGGGUCCCUCAAGGACAAAUAGAGGAGGAGCCCACAUUGCACUAUUUGUCACCCACCUUAAUUCCUCUUAUAGCUUGCCUCGAUGACGAGCAGAAAAAGAGGGGCAAGUCAGUGAUGGACCGUCGCUAGUAGCGCCUCGCCUGUAGUCCUCAUUGAGCCAAGGAAGUUAAGAAAUUUGACGAUGAGCAUAAAAAGAAGGGUAGGCCUGCGAUGGAUCACCUCUAACAAUGCUUGCACCCCUUGCUUACGAUCCUCACUGAGCCAAGGAGGUCAAGAAACUCGACCUCCUCCUCCGCUCGAGGCGUGGUGGUCGGUAAACUCAUCCAGGUCAAGUAGAGAUGGGCCCACUCUACUCCCUCGACAAUGGGAGAGGUAAGUCGGUGAUGGAUCAUCGAUUAACAAUGCUCGCACCCCUCGCCUGUGGUCAUCAUCAAGCCAGAAAGGUCAGAAAAUUCGACCCCCUCCUUCGCUCGAAGUAAAGAGGUUAAGCACCUAACCCUUCCUUUUUGUCACUAUCGAGCCACAAAGGUCAAGGAACCAACCCCCAUUAUUGUCGUCCUCCAUGCUUGGAGGGUCGGGUUCACUUCGAACCCCUCUUGUGAGAGUCAUCAAAGCACAUCUUAGAGAAGAGACAAAUGAUGAGGAGAGCAUCGUCAGUCAAUCUUCACCUGACACAUGGCCUUCACAUGGUAUCUAAGGUGGAAGAAAAAGUCAAAGGCUACCCUUCGCUUCUUUGCUCACAUGGACAGGGUCCAAGACAAUCAACUAUAGGCUACAUCCCCCUUGCUACCCAUGUAGAUAAAAAAGGUCAAGAGGAGAUUGUUGGAGGCAAUUAGAGGUUGCCUCCUAGAAUGUUAUAUAUAAUAUUUUAUCCUUUUACAACUAGGCAUAAAAGUUCAUCUUUAAUACAAGGGAAGAGGGGGGAUUACUUUUUAACCACUCGUUUCUGCACUCAUCUACCUUAAGCUACUAACUUUGGGGUUAAAGAGAUCAGAUCGAAAAACUUCUUCCGACCUCGAUCUUCGUGUAGAUGGCACCUCAAGAGCUUGGUGUUUUCACAUCGAAGACAUCAUAGACAAUCCUACAUACAUACGUCUGAACCACAUCGAACUGACCAAGACAUCAACGACUUCUUCCCAUAAUAAUCUAUAUAAUGAAUCAAUCCUAUUUUUUAACUAUCAUAUUUUUAAAUAGAUUUAUAAUAUUUUUAAAAUAUUAUAAAUCUAUUUAAGAACAUUAUAACUUAUAUGAAAAUCUCUCUUUUAUUUCUAAACUAAUAAAAAUAAAAUAUUUUAUUUUUAAUAUAUAAACUAGUUUUUAUUGGAUUUUUAAAAAUUCAUUUGCUUCAAUUAUAAUAUUCUUGAAUAUACUUAUUUGGUGAAGGUAUAAAAAACAUAAUUAAUAUAGAAGUUCUAAAAUCAAUAAUGAUAAUUAUUUAAAAUUAUUAUAUAUAUAUAUAUAUAUAUAUAUAUAUAUAUAUAUAUAUAUAUAUAUAUAAAAGUUAGUUUUAUAUUAGAUUUUGAGUUAAUUUAUCUCAAUCGUAAUGUUUUUAAUAAAUUUGCAAUGUCUUAUUAGGAGAUUCUAUUAAAGAAUUAUAAUAUUUUUCAAUAAUAAUUGGACAAGAAACGUUAUUGAAAUAAUUGAAGGAGGAGAGAGAGAUAAAAGAUAAUAAAACGAAGGAGGCGAAUGAGAAAGGAGAUUGAGGAGGAGGAAUGAGAUAAGGCAAAAGUGGACGAGAAGAAGAGGAAGAUAGAGAUGGCGAAGACAACAAGAAUAGGAGAAAAACUAGAUUAGGAGAGCAGAUAGAGAUUGAUAGGGAGGAUGAGGAGAAAGAGUAGGAGGAAUCAGUUUAAUAAAAAUAAAUAAAUUAUGAAUUAUUUUUAAUUUUAACAUCAUUAGAUAUAAAAUGUGAUGAUAUUUCUGUUCAAAUUAGAAAAAUGGCACCCAAGUAAAACAGAAUUAGGAGGGCAUCAUCUUUAAAAAACAAAUAGUGGGUUUUUUUUAUAUAUUAUCCAAAAAUAAAAGAGAUUAACAUAUCCUCCACAAAAUAAAAAUAACAAAUAUAUAUAAUCUUCCAACAUCUUUAAAUUACUUAAAUGUUCCUGUAAAUCUGUUAAAUCUUAUAUUGUGGUUAACAUUAAUUAGCUUUGAUCAGAACACGUAUAUAUAAAUGACAAUAAAUUGUUAAAAUAGUAUAAAUAUCAAUUAUAAUUUAAUCUAAAAUAAAAUGCCAGUCUGCCAACGAAAAUUUAUUUAUAAGCGCAUUACAUAUAAAAUCGGCUUGGCUCCGGUUUGGCUCCGGUUCAUGGUUUGGCUCCGGUUCAUGGUUUCAGUAAAAUUUCAAGAAACGGUUUUCCACCCUCCGACAACGUUCCACAAAAGACACCCGCCCUGUUUCUGGGAGGAGCGGUGGCCCCCUGUGGGACGUGGCUUCCUUUACGUUUGAGGUAUGUGUGGCACUGUGUAGGAUAAGUAUUACCGCUAUAGCUUUUGGUUUUAUAUAGACCCCAAAAAAGAACCGGCGGUUGACGACAGUAUGUGUGCCGGUUCAGUUAUAGACCGAACUAAUUAUAUGUUUAUAAAUAUUCUUCCGCGCCCUAAACCGGCCCAUUCCGGUCGUCCUUUUAUCUUCGGGGUUUCCCUUUUGCCCUUUAUGUUUCGAUGCCCUAAUUCCUGACGAGCGACGCUACCCCGCGAUCGCUCUCUCGCCCCCGAGGAUCACACCUUUGCCGUCGAUAUUACCUCUCCGUGGUGGCGAGCCCUCCAUUGCCGUCGCUUGCCAAGUGGUGCCUGUCUCUCUAGUGCGAUUAGCUUGUGGUGCGUUUUCUUUUUCUCGAUCUUUUUUCUUCUUACUCUAAUCUGAUAUACUCGACAUCAUCAAACGUUAUCGAUUCAAUGAGUCAUUUAGGGUUUUGUAAUUCCUGUGCCUCCAAUUGAUGGAUCUCUUAUUUUUUUGGUUGCCCUUUGGAUGAUUUGUUGAUGCCGGAACGGCUCGAGUUCUGUGCUUGGAAAUUUUGGUUAGCUGCUCCAAUUUUACUCAAUAUUAGUUUCUCAAAUUUUUGUUUGGAUGUUUGAUAAAUUAUUUCGGUUUUAGAUCGUUACAAAAGGAACAACUUUUAAAGUUCAAAACGACAUUGCUGGCUUUUUGCCUUCUCUUCUGUAUAUCUAUGUUGAUUGGUGCUUCUAUGUUGUUUAGCAGCCGCUAUUCGAUUGCAGAGAAGAUACAAUCUAGUAGGUCCACCUUACGUAUUUCAUAAAUUCGCUUAUCACCUUUGGUAUUCAUAGAAUAACAGAUCGCCUGCUGUCUUUCAUCGAUUAGCAUUGCCGUGUUGUAUCCAGAGAGUUCUGUGUCAGUUUGCAUCAGCAUCGAUGGAUUGCAUAUGUUUAUCUAAAGUAUUAUGAAACUUAAUGAUACAUGUUGGGUUGGGAAUCUAUUACAUUCGUGCAAGUUAUUUAGGCUUUCUGGAUCUUCUGGUAGGCAGCAUUCAUGGAGAUUGAUCUCCUAAGAAAGAUCCUAAAAAGGAGUAUUUGAUUGUUGCGUUCCGGGACACACAUGAGAUACACAACUUAUACAUUUUUGCACUGGACUUAUUGGUUGUUAUUUUUUGUUUAGCUCACGCAUAGGUUCUUUUAUAGCUAUCUUUUAUAUGAACUGAGAUUCUGGGUACUGCAUUUUUUAACUAAUGAAUUAUAAGAUGUUUGAUUCCCUGCAAAAUGGCUUUAUAUCAAAAUGUUGAAGCUUCGAUUUGGUGCCAAUAAGAAUAUUGUUGCAAUUUCAGAUAUCCUAAGUAGGAGGCAUAUUAAUUAAAAAAUUCUUGCAAAAGUCCUUAGAGCUGUGCAUGCUCGAGGAGUUGAAAGUUUACUUGAUUGUUUUGGAUAUGUGGGCCUAAUUGUAAAUUUAUGGCCAUGUAUUAUCUGAACAUUACUUUUUCCAAAAUGUUAAAUGACAAUUCUUCAAUCUUGACCUAGCUUUAUAUCUGUUUUUUUGGGUUCUAAUACGUGAGGCCUCACUAAAUUUCUUUUUUCCUUUUAACAGAUUCCAUUCCUAGUAAUGGCAAGUUACUCAGGGAGAGGUGGACCAUCAAAUGGCUCUGUUUAUGUGUGUAAGUUGCCUCCUGGAACUGAUGAGACUAUGCUGGCCGAGUAUUUUGGCACCAUAGGGUUGCUAAAGGUAUAGGUCUUGCCAGAUAUCCUUUUGAAUCAUCUUCCAUUAUUUUCAACUAUUUGUUGUGUGUAACAGAGACACUGUUUUAUGAUUUCCAUCUAUAAUUAUAUAAUAUGGCUGCUCAAAAUUUGACAGAAGGAUAAAAGGACUGGUCGACCAAAAAUUUGGUUGUAUAGGGAUAAAACUACCAAUGAACCUAAGGGCGAUGCAACAGUUACAUAUGAGGACCCACAUGCAGCUCUCGCUGCUGUUGAAUGGUUCCACAACAAGGAUUUUCACGGAGUUCCCAUUGAAGUUUAUAUAGCAGAGUCAAAAACUAAAGACUCAAUUGAUAAUUCAACUCAGCAGGAUGGUUUUGAAGAAAAUCCAAUUAUGGAAGUUGGAGGGCAUGAUGAUCUGAAUGGUGCCGGAGGUAGAGGUAGAGGUCGUGCUGGUGCAUCAGGAAAAUCAUGGCAACAAGAUGGAGACUGGAUGUGUCCCAAUACAAGGUCUGUGGUAUGAUAUUGGUGAGCAACUCAUUCUUGCACUAUUAGAUAAUUUUUCUAAUUUGAAUAUGUUCCAGAUGAUGCAACUUGUUUUAUCAUUCUUUCUUUUGCUGGCAGUUGUUCCAAUGUGAACUUUGCAUUCCGUGGUGUGUGUAACCGGUGUGGGACAGCUCGUCCUGCUGGUGUUGGUGGAACAGGUGCUGGUGGCGGUGGUCGAGGAAGGGGCCGAGGUAGUGGUGAUGCUGGAGGAGUUGCCCGUUCUGUUGGUGGUCCCACAGGGCUUUUUGGUCCAAAUGACUGGCCCUGUCCGAUGUAAGUAACCUUUCUUGCUUUAGAAGUUAGUUUUGUCCCAUUUGAAAUGCUUUUUUAUCACUUAAUGUGGAGAGUAUCUAAUUUCUUGCUGAAUAAAAUCCAACUUUUUGAUAUGAUUCAUGGUGUUUGCUAGAACAAAAUACCUUUUUUUAGGCAUAAAGUGAUGUUCUGUUUUCUUUUAGCAGCAUAAUUUUAUAAAAAAAAUUCUGUGAGAAACUCAUUUGUUUAUUGCAGCUAUUUGUUAAGCUUAGUUUGACCCAAUGGUUGUUUGCUUUAGCAAAGGAUGUUACCACUUGACUUGGUUUGUAAGCAUUCAGCAAUGAUAUGUAAUAAACUAUUCCAGUAGCACUAUAGUUAUACGGAUAGCAUUUAUCAAUGAUUUAUUUUGACCCUUUCCAGAUAUUACACAUUUCCUAGUGCCAAAAAUAAUCAAGGAAUACACCAGAGAAUAGAAAACAUAUGCUUUUCCCCAAGCCCAAAACAUUCCAUUAGUUUCAUUUAGUUAUUUUACUGUUUGAUUUCUUACUCUAUGCACAGGGAAACUACAUAUUAUGGCAAUGUUUUUCUGUUCUUUUUUCUUUUACAUCUUUUGAGGUUUUACCAGCUCUGAUUUUUGCAGACUAGUAAGCUCUAAUUAUAUUUAACACGCACACCCAACAGAAAGCAAAUAUGGGUUAGAUAUUCUUUGUUGCACCCUUUAUGUUGGUCAACUGAAUUCAACACAUGAGAAGACAUCUUUAUUAACACUUCCCUGCUUAGAGAAUUUUUUUUGUUGUGCAUGAUAUGUCAUAGUUGAAAGCUGUAUCUUGUAUGCACAUACUGUAUAGGGUGUUUGUUGCUUUUUUGGCUACAAUGAAGUUAUCAUUGAAACCUUUUCAUAGUACACUGUUCAUUAAUUUUUAUAUAGGUUACUGCUUGAGCAAGUGUUUUUUCCCUUCUACAUAAGAAACAUUAAACCCCUGCUAAAUUGGAGCGAACGUCUCAUAUUGUUGGUUCACUGCUUGGAGAUUAUCACACUGUCCUGUUUACCAUGCGAAUAAAUCAUGAAUCGAUCAGUAGCACACUAUGUUGUAGAAGACAACUCUUCUCUCUCUCUCUCUNNNNNNNNNNNNNNNNNNNNGACAACUCUUCUCUCUCUCUCUCUCUCUCUCUCUCUCUCUCUCUCUCUCACACACACACACACACACAUGCACACACACUCACACUGUUCAUCAAACAGAUACAUACUCUGAAGGUUAUAGAUACUCUACAUGUUUUGCCUCUCACUGAUUUUCUGUGGCCGUCAACCUAUCACUCAGUGAAGUGUUGCUUUAUCUGACCCACUUACUAUGUCAUCAUGACAAGGCUGAUGUUCCAUUGUUCAAAUAAAUGUUUCAGGUGUGGCAACAUUAAUUGGGCAAAGCGCACAAAGUGCAAUAUAUGUAACACCAACAAGCCAGGUCACAAUGAGGGUGGUGUGAGGUAAUAUGAAUCAUGCAUAGAAUGGCCAUAUUGUAAGAACAUUUGAAACUUAUUAUUAUGGAUAUUAAAUGAUUUUUACAAUUUUUAUGUCUAUAUUUUACCCAACUGUUUAGCAUGUUGGAUAAGUUUAUAAACUGAAUUAUUCCUUGUUUGAUUUAUGUUAUAAUUCUUCAUACCAUGUGCUUGCUAAGCAUAACAGAACCGGAGUUGAUAAUGAUAAGCAUGCAAGCAUUGUUUUUCAGUUUGGCUUUAGUUAUGCUCCACUGAUAGUAAUAGUGACACAUGGAGACAGUCAUAUUUUCUUCUGAUGCCUGGGCAUUUAUGCCAUGCUUAUUUCUCGACCUGAAUGUAGAUGUUGUUGUAGCUUAAUUGAGAACCACUUAUGUAAUUUUGUUGAAGCAUUUUCUUGGUUCCAUUGCUUUAUUUGAUAGAGGAGGCCGUGCUGGAGGUUACAAAGAACUUGACGAAGAAGAAAUAGAAGAAACAAGGCGACGGAGAAGAGAAGCUGAAGAGGUUGAUGAACCUGUAACUUUUGUUGGUGAAUUUUCUUUUCCUUUUUACAUGUGUACAAAUAUUUCGUUUGUGUCCCGCAGGAUGAUGGAGAGAUAUAUGAUGAAUUUGGAAACCUUAAAAAGAAAUUUCGUGCAAAAACACAACAAGCUGAAGCUGGGCAAAUGGUUCCUGGCUCUGGCCGUGCUGGAUGGGAGGUUGAGGAGAUAGGUAACUUACACCUUAUUGACUAUGUAUCAUUUAUAAUGUUAUUUAUUACUUUUUAAAUAUGUAAAUAAAUGUUAAUGCAUGCUAUAUGCGAUACUGUUUAAUUAAAAUGCUUAUACUGCAUCUUAUUUCUUGAAGAUUUGGAUGUAUCGGCUUAUUUUUAUGAUCUAUCUAUAUCCAUGCUUUGAAGAUGUCUUUUUCCUUUUUUUGAUCACUUUUAUAAGGUGAUAUUUCUACUUUAUGUGCUUGUUGUACAUGUUUAAAGAAUAUUCGAUUCUACAAAGUAGAUGCUAUAAAAUCUUUCAGUAACUUGUAAUAUGCUUCUUAUGACUUGCGAUACAUUGAAGUACCAAGUUCUCAGAAUGUAAAUGUAAAGAGAUUAUAUUUACUUUUAUGUUGCUAAACGACGAUGCUACAUUCAGUCCUACAUUUGCUAGAGUUGAAGAGACAAGACCUUUUGUAGAAUUAGGACUUUUGCUCAUACAUGUGUUUCAAUACUAUAUUAACAUAUUUUAGCAUUUGAUGCUGAUGGGGUUCUAGGAAAAUAACAAAUAGAAAACUGCAAAAUCUGAUGUGCUGGUUUGCAUAAUAAUUUUAAAAUUUUAUAAUGACAUUUGCAGGUGUCUCCGAGAGACACGGUGGAGAGAAAAGCAAAGACCGUUACAGAGAUUUCAAUGAACGGGAAAGCAGCAAGAACCGGGAAAGAGAUGGUUCUGAGAGGGAGAGGGAGAGACGCAGGAGCCGAAGCAGAGAAAGGGAGAGGGAGCGUGAGAAGGAACGAGGGAGAGUCUCGGAUCGAGAUUAUGGAUAUGAAAGAGGUCGGGAACGUGGUAGGGACCGCCACCGAGACUGGUAGUGCUUUUGCCAAGGCUAGGUUUCUACUGCUGCGCAUGCCUUUAGUAUAUUGAAACUGUUUUGUGUCAUCUGUAGCUGGAAGCUUUGUUAAAAAUUUCUUGCUUGAACAUCCACUUUCUUCUUUCUGUUUCCCCCGCCCCCCCCUUUUUUCAUUUUACCAACUGAUGACAUCCUUUCAUAUCAACUUUUGAAGCAAAUGUUUUGAUUAUUCUAGUGAUUUGAGUGAUGCUAGACUAUUGCAAAAUGCAGGCGCUGAUAAAAAGCCAGCUUGUGAAAAGCUUUCUAGUUCUCGAAUGUAUCUACUGAAGGGUAGUUUAACAUUCAGGAGAUUGAUGUUCCAUAUGUAUAAACCUGCAUUGUUCUUACCUUUAACAUAUGCUGUUGUCUUCAGGGUGACUACAUUUUGAUCAAUGUCACUGAUGCAUAUGGUAGUUCUCACUGUAGCUAGAGACUCGAUGCAAUUUAACAUUAGUUCCUUUGCAUGUCAGCUCAACUUGCAGAGGGCACUUGGUAAACCCCUAAUCAGCAAAGCAGCGGCAAAUCUCCCCAGAGGAGGAUCUGAAUCAAGAGAAUUGAACUUGGCGAUUAGUAUGAAAUCAUUUUUGGUAACUCCUGAACUUACCAUGGGAUGACAAUGCUUUUCAUUUUUUCCUUACAGUUUGAUUAAGAAAUAAAUUAUUUUGUUGGCUAGAAAGAAAGUCCAUUCGCCUACUAUGCUGAUAAACAUUGUCAUUUAGAGGAUGUGUCAUUGAUGAGGGGAUGUCCGAGACAAUUGGAUAGAGUCUUAGGAUAAAGACAAGCAGUGCAUGUUGUUUUUGAGUUAGAUAUCAAGAGAAUAUAUGUCCCUUCAAUAGGGUUAUUUUGGUGUAGUUAAGACGUUUGGAGGGCAAAAAGGCAGACAUGAGUUAGGCAAUGGAAUCCAAUCAUAGGAUGUUGGCUUGCCCAAGACAAGUCAUAGUUUCUUUGCUGCUUGUUCUCUUUUCUGUGAUGGCACAUACGAACUUUAGAUUGUUAUCCAAGUGUACCAAAUUGAACUUUCUUCCCCCCAGUAUGCCUGAAAGAUACUGGUGUUGUCAGUUCACUUAAAAGAGACCUUCCUUGGAAACUGGCAUUUUAUCUUGUCCUGCGUUUGUUUCAUUUUGUGGGUUAAUCUUUUGUUUAUGUUAAGCUUGCCAUAAACAUGGACUGCACUAUGUACAUGGGACAUGUAUUCUUCUGGAUACCAAACUAGAUAGAUCUUGAUGAGUCCAAAACAAAGUGGUCAAAAGGUAAAAGAAGGAUCAAGGCCAAGAGACUGGUCAGCUAAGAAAAGGUCGUUCCUUGGACUCAGGCAAUGGGGUCCUGAUAACAGUAACAUUGAUUACAUCAAUGCUGGCAAUGUGGGAUGUGUUUUAGGUCGAGACAGUUGAUGACAAGGGUGAGGAGUUUGGAAGAACAAAUGUUUUCAUCUUAUUAGGGGAUGCAGAAACAUCUUGUUUCUUUAGGAUCACAGAAACCCAACAUAUGUCAGAGUAGUGUGGCAGCACAACUUAAUGAUCUGGAGGAACUUAUCUGUUGAGAACCAAGAGGGAGACAAAGGCAACAUAAUAAUAGGAGCCUGUUGGAUCUUGUUUGUUGCUUCAGCAUCUAAUAUGUUUGAAUCCCUGUCCCCUAAUUAAGACAAGCUCGGGAGUUAGGACAUUGCUUUCCACAGGACAUGUUGUUUUAUAGGUGACAGUCCAGUAUUAAUGAUGUGGGUGUGGUGAGAGACCUGAAAGAUAAAAGACUGAAGACCGACGUAGAUGAAGAAUGCAUGACAAAAGAUUAGUUUAGUAAGAGGAGCCAUGCUACGUAGAAAAGGAAGUAAUCUUAUGCUUGGGUAGAAGACAAACGGAGCCGAAGGCAAAGACAAAUCCUGCAUAUGUUAUCAUUUGCAUGAAGCACUUAGCAGUGCAAUAGGCCAAAGCUAUUUUAUGUUCAUCGAUUAUAGAACUAUAAGAUGCACUAAGGAUGGGUCAGAGGGCUCUGUCGAAAAGAGAACAAAGGUGAUGUGUUGGCUUGGGUAAUAAAUAAGAAGAAGAUCCAUGAGUGGACACCAACAUCCCAAGGCAAGGCAGUCUUCCCAGUGGAGACAAUGAUACAAGUAAAGAAGGUAGUAGAAUCCUCUUUAGUGUUGAAUGCAAAGUUGGCUUUAUCCAAGUGAUUUCUGCUAGUGAUUGAGUAAUUAUCAGACAGAUUAAUGGAGGCUGUCAUGAUUGUGCUGGUGAUUAUUAUUGUUGCCCAGUUUUUUUUUUUGUUCCUGCUCGUUAUUGCUCCAAUGCUGAUGAAUUUUGUGGCAUCUAAUGAGGCAAGUUUUUAGACAAACUAAUGUUAUUUUAUGUGAUGUUAGAGUGGGUAAUGAUGCUUUUUCAUGUGAUCAUUAAACAAUGAGCAAGUGGACGACUAGUGUUGUUUAAGAUAAAAAGGGAUAUAUAGUGCUGACAAUGGCAAUCGAGAACUUAAAAGCCGUCUCAGUACUACGUUAAGGAUAAAUAAGUUCCUUCUUUUGGGGGUGUGGAUAAUGUGUGGGAUAUCUGUUAGUUUAAUUUGAAUUAAUUUCUUACGAAUUAUUUGAACUCGAAUUAUGUUCAGUAAUUAUUUCUUACAACAAAAUCUGAGUACCAAAAAUUGCACAUUUAUCAGAGAGAGAGAGAGAGAGAGAGAGAGAGAGAGAGAGAGAGAAAAGAAGCAUUUUUUUUUUGCCUUCUUGAGAUAUAGGAACGCUAAAUUCGAACAAAGUAGUGAUCGCUUAUCGCACGGAUUUUAAAGCAUUUCAGUGGUCUGGUAGUGCUGCGGAGCAGAUUAAGAAGGGCGGGGAGGCGAUGGCCAUGCGCUCCUCGCGAUGGAACCUGGUUUGCUUCGCAAUGAAGGCCUCCACCGCACGCCGGAACUCCUCCGCGUCUUCCGCCUGCACCUCCUCUUCGGAUGCCUCCGUUGUUGUCGGUGGAAACAUGUCCCUUUUCCGGCCUGCCACCACCGUCUCUGCCCGACGAAGCUCGGGCGGUGGCCCGCGCCGCCGCUCCAUCCUCUGUGAACGGCUCUUCCGGAAUGCUCGCGUCUCGACGCACACGGCCUUGUCCUCGUACACCACCACCUCCUCCUGUGGCGGCGGAAGAGAGAAGGAGAACCGGAGGCCGCGGCUCUCGAGGAACUCGUCGAAGAGGUCGCCGACGGCCGCGGAGGAGGAUGAGGAGGAGGAGGAGGCAGAAGAAGUGGUGGUGGCUGAGGAGGAGGAGGGAGAGGGGGAUAGGUGGCCGGACUUGGCGAAGAGGAGGAGGACGAUGGCGUUGCCGAGGAGGAAGACGAAGCGUGGGCUGAGGAGGACCGCGGCGAGUCGGCGGAGGAAGUCGACGGAGAGGCGGGCGGCUGCCGGAAGGCGGGCGGAUAACCAGGAGAAGAGGAGGAGGCCAGCGACGGCCUCGAGGUAGCGGAGCAGCGUCCCGAUCUUUUGGAGGCGACGGUACCGCCGCAUCGCGGUCUCCUUCUCCGCUUGGAUCGCGUCCAUUCCCGGAUCGGACGGUCCAGAAUCAAUCACGACGAGCAGAACCUCCUCAGAAGCGGAGUAAGCCCUGUAUGAGUGAGCUCUUCGGGAAAGCGAAGCUCGAUGGCCCGUCUUAUAGGGAUGAGUGGCCUUUUGCCAUAUCACCACUAUAUAUAUAUAUAUAUAUAUAUAUAUAUAUAUAUAUAUAUAUAUAUAUAUAUAUAUAUAUGAUUGAAGAAAAUAUUUAAUUAUCGAAAACAUAAUUAAUUUAGACAAGAUUUUAAUUUAUGAAAACAACCGAUUAGGGGUGCAAUUAAAAAUAAAUUAAGUUCUAAUAAAGAGUCAAAGAUGAAUCUACUCCAACAUUAUUGCAUGCGACCCAUUUAAAAUGGACAAACUACUCGUUGCUCAAACAGCUCACACACCACAUCAAGCUUCAUAUACUUUAGACAGAAUGAUAACUACGUAUUAAAAAUAUAUAUUUUAUUUUUUUUUCUUAUUUUCAUCAACAAUAUUUUACACAUCUCUGAUCAAAAUGAUACGAUGCUUUUUUAACAUCGACAUAAAUGAGAUCCUAUCAAAAUUAAACAUCAAUAAGUUUAAUUUAAUAUUGGGUGAGUUUAUUAUGUUCGAUUGACCCAAAGCUGGAUUCCAGUGCCUCUCAUCGGUGAAACGAGUUGGAGUAGCUUGUACAUUUCAUAGACUUGAGCCACAAUUUAUGAUUCCGGAAUAGCUUUAUGUGAGAAGCAAUCAUUUUACGUAUCAGGCCAAGUAGAGAAUUAUCUUUUGCUCCUACGUUGAAGCUGAAUCCAAAAGUUCGAUCAAGAUAGAAUCCAUGAAUCAGUGAGUUUAUUUCUUGUUUCUUAUGUAGAUUAUGACAGGAAGAAUGGAUAGGGCUUUUAAUUCAGGAAAAAAGCUUGAUCAUCAUCGGAGUCACAGACAGCUGAUGAUCAUGACAGUGGUUCCGAGGAAGGAAUCUGCUGGGCUCUAAAACGCAUUAAAGACCCUCACCAAAUCCAAAUCUCAAACCACGGAGGCAGCAGCUAUAUUAUGAGGAACUGUUGCUGUAGAUUUAGUGUAGGUAUGUCGGGUGGAAAUCUAAAACCAACCCUAAGAGAGAGGAGCCCAUCCCAUUCCGCAUUUCUUAUAGUUCCCGGUCAAAGACUAGAGCUUGAUUGAUGCCAGAAAUCUGCACCACCUCUACGUAUACGUUUGCAUGGAAGAGGAGACCAUUGUGGUGUUGGAAAUGGUGGUGUUCACUCUCUCGGAGCUGUGCGCACGAGUGCAGUAUUGGAAAUGUAUUCUCAGAUGCGACUUGUCAAAGCAACCAGAUCUCUCUCUCUCUCUCUCUCUACCUAAACCCCUGCGGUGGGUAACGUAUAAACAAGCGCCUCCCGGCCGAAACAGUGCGAAGAAAUGAGUAAAGAAUGCAACAUCAUGACUCUCUGCGUCAGAGUUGAGGGGACCGGAGCUCGAGGCUGCCAACUCGAACGCUGCAGUAUUGACGCAGGUGGCAGCGGAUGUCCGGAAGCCAACCACCACCACCACCACCACCACCACCUUCCACUCCUCACCCGCAAGGAGGGCCGCCACCGCCGCGGCCAGGCGACAACUUUUGGCGCCUCAGGACGGGCGAUGUGGAGGGAAGAGCGAGAUUAGGUGGAGUGGAAGGUGGCAUUCUUUGUGCCAGUGGGUACUGCAGCUUGUGGUGUGGUUAUUGUGUUGACGACUUGUCUAAAAUAUCAUAUAUAUUUUCUUUGUUGAUAUUUAAUGCUAUUAUUUUUUGAUCGAUUUUCUUACAAAAAUAUUUUCUUCCCCGUUUUUGUUUUUUCAAAUCCAUCAUGUCCUAUUUUCAACCUCUCAAAAAUAUUCUGCAAUCGUCAACGUAGGUUGCAGAGGCAGAAGAAGAAUCCACUUCAUGGCAGGCUUUGGAUUAACAUGGCGUUGAUGCGUAAUAUAUGACGUUUGUCAACCGCCAUGUACGUGACAGUAAAAAGCUUUACGUUGACCGAGGGGGUACGGCCUGGGCUCGCCAUCACGGGUUUUAUUACCCUAAAUGGAAACUACUAACCAACGGCUGAGAUCGUCUUGGAAGGACACAAAAAGAUUUGAUCUAUUUACCCCAAAGCCCUUCAUCUUUUCAAAAAUUACCAACGAUGACUGACGGCGGCUAUGGUUCCAUAAAACUGGGCCGGUCUGCUACUUCAGUAGGCCCAAUACGGCCCAAUUAGUAGUGAUGAAUGGGCUUGGCUCGGUGCCUUUGAUCAAAGCGGGAAAGAGAGAGAAGAUGUGUUGGAGGAGGUAUAAGAGGAUGGGCAGCCAUGCUUGCUUUCCCCAUCGAUGACCUCCAUGUGAUCGUAUAAACAAAUCGAGAGCUUAUAGAGAAGAAGGGAGUAAGAUAUUCGAGCAGUUUGCAAUGAUACCGAAACAAGCAAGAACAGUCUCAUGAACAGCGUAUAGAGCUGGUGUUUGGUCCGAAGGGCAGGGAAGAAAACAUGAAUCCUUUCUCCCGUGAUCAGUCCAUUCGCCUACGAUGCUCCCUCCCGCAACAAUCCAAACGACUGCCUUCAUUUCAUAUACAUGCAAGGAAAACGAGGAUCCUUGGUGUUGCCGCUCGAAACAGUGCUGCCGUGCGAUGGAACCUCGGUGCACAUACGUGCUUGGCCGCACUCGUCUCCGGGGAGCAGUCCCAUGUGUGUGAUCUCUGCGUCUUGUAUCGUCGCCUCUUGUCCUCUUGCGUGAUUUGAUGGGCUGCCUCACCGCGGCCGCAGCUUUCCGGCGCAAAACUUCGGGUCACAGUGCCCCCAUUCUUGUCCUCGGCAUCUACGCCAGUGAUGGCUUAUUGAGAGGGAGCUCUCCAGACUGGUGUAUCGACUUGGGUAGUGACCCGAGCUCGGUUCGGUAGGGACAAGCAGAUCUGCAGUUGUUCUCAUGAUCAUGAUGAGGAUAUGUGCGAUGGAGAAGGAAUGUUUAACUGUCAAGUAUUAAUUGCAGCACCAAUAAACUCGAUGACUAAUUCGAACUUUUGGAGUUAUCGAACGUGGCUGACACAUGGACUAUGAGUGCCACAGGAUACGAUCAUCUGGUGAUUGAUUAGCCAACACUUUUAUUGCCGACCACGUGUGCCGCUCAGAACGACCUGCACUAGGAUCUGCCGGAUCCGGCGUGAGACGUCGUCGACGUGGGGACGGACGUACGGGUCCAUCCUCUCAGAUCGCCAUCGCGGCCGUGCGUCCGCCAGUCUGGCGUCUUCCCCCUCCUCGUCUCUAGCGCACCUAAUAGCGAUAUCCGCCGUCGAUCUACGGAUCAUCCGUCGACCACGAAUCCACGAUCAGAAUAUUCCUAAGAUUUGAUUUCGAAAUCUAUAAAUGCUAAAAUGAUGAUAUUUGUAGUAAAUAAUAUCUACGGCUGGAAGGCAACACUGUACUUGAUUGGGGCAUUACCAACGUGCACAGUGACCGACGUAUCGAGGACACCUUAUCGAGGCAUACGGCGACUCCACGAGUGCGUGCAAGCUUUUACAGCACGAUCGAGUUCAUACCGGUGCGUGUAAUAAAUCGGCACGGGAAGCCUGAGAUCGUUAAAUUGCUGCCGCGUGCGAAGAGAUGGUUGGAUAGAGGACAAGAAUUAGAGCAUGCAGAGGUCUCAUAUUACAUUAGAAAUCGUAGUGGUAAGAAGGAUUCCAAGUGCACGGAGAUUAUGAGAGGUGGUUGAGGGCGUGCCGUGAUGCAUGGGAUGAUGGGAGAAUUGUUUCGGGGAUCUGUGUGACAUGGGAAGUCUAGAACAAGUCGCCGGAUUCCAAAACAAACAAAAGAGCCACAGGAGCCGAUUUUAACGUGACCGAUCACAUGCCAAACGCCAUCGCCGCUAACCGCAGUUACACCUUUUGCUCCUCUCCCUCCCCUCUCUAAGUAGUAGUAGACCCGCUCCACAGCGGCUCAUUGCGUACCCACACACUCGCUCUAGAUUUCUCUUCGGCUCUCUCCCUCUCCUCUGCUCUUGUGACAACCCCCUUGUAUCUGUUCUUAAGGUGUGGGGAGUUGGCGUUGCAGUUGUUGUUGUUCUGCAGUUUGUUUGUUGUUGCGGUAGGGAAGCUUCGGAGGCAGCUGCGAUGGAGGUCUGCAGUGUGGGAAUGAAGGCGAACGUGUGUUUCGGCCAAGUGAAGAGGAGAAGCGUUGGUAGUGGGGAGAGUGGGAUUUGGGGAGAAGGGAUUGGUGGUGGUGGUGGUGGUCUAAAAAUUAAGGUGUGGGAAACCAAGGUGGUAAAGGGUGUGAAGAGGAGGAACUCGUUGGGAGCUGCAGUCGCUGUUCUCACUUCAGAUGUCAGCGAGGAGACGAUGGUGAGCGAUUUCUUGUUUCUGGUAUCCUCAUUUCCUGUCACUUCCGCUUCUAAUCGAUUCUGUCAUCGCUCCAGGUUUUGCAUGCACCGAUGUUUGGUUACCGGACGGCAGAGCCCAAGAGCGUUGCAUCCAUAAUACUGGGUGGAGGGGCAGGCACUCAGCUCUUCCCUCUCACUAGUACAAGAGCCACGCCUGCAGUAAGAAUCAAGCUUCCAUGUCUCUCUCAUGACUGCUUUCUUAUUGAUUUGAAUUGUUGUGCUGGAAUUCAAGUUCCUUAAACAUUGGGAUUUCUCUUCGAGAGCUGCCCCAUGUCUUUGCAGUUCUCGACUUUAGCUACGGUUCAUCCGGAUCAUGCUUGUUUCAAGGUUUCUGAGCCUCUCUCUUUGAUGCAAACAUGAAAUGAAUGCAUGAUUUUUCACCUGUAGGUUCCCAUCGGUGGAUGCUACAGGCUUAUUGACAUUCCAAUGAGCAACUGCAUCAACAGCGGGAUAAACAAGAUCUUCAUAAUGACGCAGUUCAAUUCGGCUUCACUGAAUCGCCACAUUUCUCGUACAUAUAUCUUCGGGAAUGGAAUCAACUUUGGUGAUGGAUUCGUCGAGGUAACAUUCUUGAACUGGUAUCCACCACUCUGUUUGCCAAUCUACACCGCAAUUUUGUUUGAUUCUUUUGUCGACCGGACUCAUUAGAAGCUUAUAGCAAGCAGGUUUUAGCAGCCACACAGACGCCUGGAGAGGCUGGGAUGAACUGGUUUCAGGGUACAGCAGAUGCCGUCAGGCAAUUCACUUGGGUAUUUGAGGUGAGCAAUCUGAUUCGGCAAACGAUAUAUUCAAUCAGUCGUAAUAAUUAUUCAUGUGGAGUUCUUUAUGAUGCACGAAACUUGGGAAUUAUGUUGAACUCUGGUCUCGCAUUUUCGUUCAGGAUAACAGGAACAAGAACAUCGAGCACAUAGUGAUAUUGUCCGGUGACCAGCUUUACCGCAUGGACUAUAUGGACCUCGUGCAGGCAAGUCUGAGCUCACACCAUGAAUUCUUUCAAGCCUCCUUUAGGAUUUCGAUUGCUUAGAUGAUGAUGCCUUGCAAUAUGCAGAAACAUAUCGAUACUGGUGCUGACAUAACAGUGUCAUGUGUGCCCGUCGGUCACAGGUAGAUCCCCUUUUUUUUCUGUCCUUUGUCUGCAGUAUUUUGUUUACAUAUGCGCUUGAGCAGGAAUUGUGCGGAUUCUUUCGGUACUGAUCGGUGUUUUGUUGUCUAAAAGCCGAGCAUCUGACUACGGACUAGUGAAGAUCGACAAGACGGGCCGCAUUUUCCAAUUUUCUGAGAAACCAAAUGGUGCAGAAUUGGAAGCAAUGGUGAAAUUAUUUGUUCUUGAGUAAUUUGAUGGAUAUCUGCCAUGAAAUAACCCACUGUAAGGGAAAAAAACAUUUGAUGAUCUGCAGAAGGAUGGCGGAAGCUUUCUCAGAUUGUCUCGUCAAGAUGCCAUGAAGUACCCGUACAUUGCAUCCAUGGGAGUCUAUGUAUUCAAACGAGAUGUUCUUUCCAAGCUUCUACGGUAAGAGACUCUCGAUCUCGUUCUCCGGUUGCGUCUUCCGCAUCUUUAUUCUUUGUCUUCUCUCCUUAGGUGGAAGUACCCGAAAGCAAAUGACUUCGGAUCGGAGAUCCUUCCUUCUGUUGUCAAGGAGCACAAUGUUCAGGUAACAGAGAAUGUUUGUAAGCACACUCUGCUCGUAGUUUAGAUAGAGGGGCUGAUGGAUCUCAGCAACUUGGCAGGCAUAUAUAUUCAAUGAUUACUGGGAAGACAUCGGAACAAUUAGAUCCUUCUUCGAUGCCAAUUUGGCUUUGACAGAACAGGUUGGUAUUAGCUUUCGCAGAACGCAUGCAAACUUCAUGCUGAAGAUAUCAUCUGAACUUUUUGUGCAGCCACCAAAGUUUCAGUUCUACGAUCCGAUGACUCCUUUCUUUACAUCUCCUCGAUUUCUACCUCCGACAAAGAUCGAAAAGUGCAGGGUAUGCCGUCAUGAACACUCACUUUGGCCUCACUGUCAUCGAAUUCCUUGGGCAUCAUGAACUAAAAGUUCAUACGCACAGAUUGUGGACGCAAUCAUCUCACAUGGAUGCUUCUUGCGGGAGUGCAGCGUGGAGCGUUCCAUUGUUGGAGUACGCUCACGUUUAGAUUUCGAUGCAGAGUUGAAGGUUUGCAUCGCUCUCCUCGUUUGAUAGAAUCGUGGAUUUGUGCUAAUUUCCGAAGGGCACCGUAGGAUACGAUGAUGAUGGGUGCUGAUAUCUACGAGACCGAAGCUGAAAUAGCAUCUUUGCUGGCGGAUGACAAGGUUCCGAUUGGUGUCGGACAGAACACCAGGAUCAGGUGAGACCUCGCGGUCAAACUCUUUUUGGCAAGAGCUUGGUCAACUCUAAGGUUCUUCUUUGAUUGAUGUCCAGGAACUGCAUCAUCGACAUGAAUGCGAGGAUAGGGAAGAAUGUGGUGAUAGCGAACAAGGAUGUAGGCACUCCACUGCAUCUGACAUGCUUGCAGAUGGAUUCUUUUCCCAUGCUAACUUGCAGAAAAAAUUCCUUUUGUUGCAGGGGAUUCAGGAAGCAGAUAGGCCAUGCGAGGGCUUCUACAUACGAUCUGGGAUCACAAUAAUCAUGAAGAAUUCUACCAUCAAGGAUGGAACAGUGAUAUAGAAUGAUAGAUUUGAGGUGUAAUAUGAAGAAUACAUAGAGGAGAGGAUGCUACGGCCAGAAUGGUAACCCAUGCUGUCAGGAUGGAACUACUCGGCUGAUACUACUGUCUCCAUGAUGUCUCUUGCGUUUUGCUAAUAACAAGCUGCAAUGAUGCAGCUGCGUCCUUGUAUGUAAUCAGUACGUUCUUAUAUCAUUUCAUCAGCAUCAUGCUCCUCUGUUCUGUAAAUAAAAUGAUCUCUAGAUAACCUAUGUUUGGUCUCAUUAAUUAGUAUCAAUGUGAUUCCACUGUUGCAUCUUGUUGAACAAUCUUCUUCUUCUUCUUCUUCUUCCAAUUUGUUGGUAUGAAAUGUGAUUACAAGCUUGAGGAGGGACACAAAAUCCAUCUACAUGCUGGCUGAAACCAGCAGUCAUCUUCUAGCUCAGUGUCCUGCGUCCUUUCUCUUGUUUGCAGCCUUCUAGUGUUUGCCUUUCAUGGCCUUUGCCCUCUUCAGCUUCGCAAUGGUUCGAAGUUUGUGAGACUGGAGGGUGAUCACUCUUGUCGUGGAUGGUGAUUCACCUAGAAUGACUUCAUAGCCAUCUCUGUAUGAAUCCAUCCCUUGAGCCAGCAGCUGCCAGAACAAGCUACCUGCGGUUGCACCACCAGUUCUAGCCGACAAAUAUACUUUGGAGUACACUGUUCUGAACAUUGCAUCCCUUUCGUCAUUGCUGAAGCCGGGAUCCUUGCAAGACUUUCCGAACUCAGUCACCAGCAAUGGCUUCUGAAGAACGUCGCACGCGUCGUGGAGGUGGAUAUCUAGCCAGUUCUUCAAGAAAGAAAGCUGCGAUCGAUCGUUCGAAUCGGGUAUCCUGUUCAUGUAAUACAAGAUCCAUCAGUGAAGAGAUGGAGGAUAUCGUAUGAAUUGGCACUGAUGUGAUGAUCGUAGUCGUUGUUACCAUUGGUCAGGGUAAGAAUGAACGGUGGCAAAAUCGAUUCCUGGAAUCUGGUUAUUGGAGAUGAAAUCAGUUCCAACUUGAAAGCCGGGGUUGGAUUGUUUCUGAGGUGAUGAUUCACCAUAGAACCCCUCGAGACCAGCUUCCAGCAAGUGCUUGUUGUCUAUGGAUUUCAGGUAGGCAGCCAUCUCUGUGAUCCAUUCCUAGGCAACAAUCAAAAUGAACGAAUCAGCUAUCAAUGUAAAACACUACUACCAAAUAGCAUAAUCCUUGAUGAGGAUUGGCCCCAAAAGCUUGUAGUUUCUGGAAACCUGUAUGCUCUUCCCUGACAAAUCUGAGGGGCAUCUGGGCUCAUUCAUGAGUUCCCAAGCAAAGAUUGUUGGAUCAUCCUUGUAGGCAACUCCAGUUAUGGUGUUGACUCUUGUGACAACAGUCUACAGAAUAAGAAGAAACACUUCACAAAUGCUAGCUUUGAUACAACAAGUGGUACAAAGGGUAGUUUCUUUUACUGUGUUCUUCCAUGUUGUUCAUAUGGAUUGGUCAUUUCUCUUACUGUUUCCUGUUGGAUUUGUCCAAUAAGAUCUCUUCUUUUCAGUUUGGCUCGAGAUUAAAAGUUAUGUUAGGAGAUAAAAACUGUGAUUGUUGGUAAAUUGCAGUGAUGACAAAGAAUUAGAGGCAAGGAAGAACACAAAAUGAUAUUGACAGGUAAAAGUAAUUCAUCAUAUGACCUUGAUAUGACUUUUGUAGUAACCUUUGACAACAGGGUUGGUGAAGAAUUCAUCAUCAGAUCCAAUGUUCUCCCCCUGAUCUCUUGCCCAUUGGACAUACUGCUUCUUCCCUCCAAAGCUAUCGUAGUUGUUAACCAAGCUCAAUAUGAGCUUGAUGCCAUAAUUUCUUGCCUCAGACACCACAAAAUCCAACCCCUUGACCAGAAGAAAAGAGAGAGAAAGAGAAUUCAGAAAUCAAAUAAGAACUGGCAAAAGCCCACAAAGACAAAUGAAGAUAAAAGGAAGGCAGUAUGAGACCUGAAAGAUCUGUUCACUGUAAGCUCCUGGGGAGUUCUGCAAGGCAUUGCUCCCUCCAUCGCUGAAAGCCCAAGUCCUGGCCACAGAGAGGCCAUGCCUGGAGGCAUCACUCAGAGCAGAGGAGACCUUGUCUCUUCGAGAAGGAUCUGAGGCCAGGGUCAUCAUCCAGUAGGCAUUGAAGCCAUUUGCAAAGAAUGGGUUCCCAUUGAGAACAAAAUGUAGCCCCCUUGUCUCAAUGAACCCUCCUGCAGCCUCAACACCAUGAUGUGAACCCAACAGCAGAAGCAGAAUGACAGAUAAAAGCCUCAGCUUCCUCAUAUCUCUCUUCUUCCCGCUGCUUCUCCCUCCCUUGAGAUGGCAAUGCAGGUAGAGGAAGCCCUGAUUGGAAGGUAGAAGUUGCAGCUGGUGCAGAGCACCCAAAGGAUAACCUGAGCACACCCAACAAGGGUUAGGUUUGUCAGGCCUCCAUGUGACGUACCUCGUAAAGUACUGUGAUGGUCAUUUGCACCUUGACGAAUGUACUGAACUCAACACAAACCAUGCAAUUUGCGUUGGCUUGGCAUGUUUGUAUUUACAAGAUUUACUGUGUCAGCUAAAUGAAAUCGCCGAUGACAUUCCUGUGUUUGUUACUUUUGUUUCUAUCGUAAGCGACGUAUGUUCUUUUAUGAUUCGUUGCUUCUCACUGGGGUUUGAGCACCUUUGCACGAAGCAGAACCUUUGCUUUCUUAGAUCUGCUGAUGAACUACUAAGGAAUCAGGAGACCUGUGAUCUACUGCACUUCUCCGGAUUCCUGGAACACAAAUUAAAAGAACGUUGGUUGAGCUGCAGAAGCGCAGGACGACCACGAGAAGGAAAUGGGUGUAAAGGUCAAUUGGACUCACAGAUGAGUAUUUGGACACGGAGGUUCUCUUAUAAUACCCAACUAAGUUGAUCGGAAGCUGCACAGCAACCAUCCCAUUCAUCGGAUCACCGUGUACGUGCACGUGGGAAGCACGUGACUUCCAAGAAAGCACGGCCAAUGAGCGAUGGUUCCGCAGGGUUAGCUUCGAGAUGCGUGUGAAUGCUUGAUAUGCGUCAGCCGCAGGAUUGAUGUCUUCCUCCCUUCGUCUCUUCGCCGCAAGUGGGCGACGGCCCGAGCUUCAACGGUUCGAUCGAACAGGCUUCCGUUUCCGGUCAGAUCUCCACCAAUAAGAACCAUUAAUCACCCAUCAACCUGCCUCGUGGGACCCGGGUGGAGCCCGCGAGGCCAUAUUACUGCCAUUGCACGUGAUGUGUUCGACCCGUGACCGCGCACAUGUAUCUCUGGGCCUCCGAAGCAGACUGCGGCGGACAUGUUCGACGGUAAAAGAUCACACGAGUUGCCCGUCGAGGCUUUCACAAGGCUCGUAUUUGGUCACCAUAGCCGAGGUAUCUCGGAAGACCUUCAUGCUGUCUCCAAUGUUCUUUCGCCUUCACUUCCACCUGCCCAACCUACAACAAAACGAUGAGAUAAGACAAGGAUAACCAGAGGAAGAGACACAAGGCUCUCCCUCCUCCUCAUCCUCGUCGCUGGGAAGGCCAUUCCUUCGGCUGUGUUCAAGAGACUGAGCAAAACCUUGCAACCGAAGGCUGAAUGAAGUGGGCCUCGAAGACUCAAGGUGCAAGAGGCGAAACGAGGAGGAAAGACGACAACGGAGCGACGCGGAGUGUCGAAUCCAGCUCCAAUUCCCCAGACAUGAUAUUAACUUGAUAUCAAAAUUCUUUUUAUCAAAAUGGGUUCUCAUCGAAAACUUGAUAUCAAAAUAUAAAUAUCAAGUAGCAUAAACAGUAGAACAAUAAAUCGAUCACACAAUAAAAUCAAAUCUUUUAAUAUAAAAAAUCCAAUGUGAGAAAAAUCACGAAACCAUAGUCAUCUCAAACUUUAACUAUCAAUAAUAAUGAUAACAGGUUUAUAAUAAAUCUUCUCUAGAAUAACUAGAGGAUCACAAUAACAUCAAGAACAUAGAUCUUGGCUCAAGAAUAAUAUAUCAUCAUCACAUAGGAUGGAUCUGAGAAUUCUAGGUCUCACAAAGUGGAUAUAGCAGGAAAGUACCUUAGAGAGGGUAAACCAUAGAUCAAUACCAUUAGGAUUAUAGAGCUUACUAUAAGAAUUCUCCGUAUAAAAUUUGGGCUAAAAUUGACAAUGUUUGACCACCGUUUGUCAAACAAAAAACUCAAUAUCUUAAUCUUUCUCUCUCCUUUUUCUCUCUUUCCUUUCUCUCUAUACUUUUUCCAACUGUAAUUCUUUCAUCUCAGGCACAUCACGAAUCCAGUGAUAUCUCACAUCAAUAUGCUUGAUCUAAAAUGAUAUAUUGAAUUCUUAGAGAUGUGAAUGAUGACUGUUAUAGUAAACAGUAUAUCCUUCUUAUUUCAAGCUCAAUUCAUGUAGAAAUUUUUUCAUCCAUAAAACUUCCUUGCAUUCUUCAGUAAUUGUUAUGUAUUUUGCUUUUGUGGUUGAUAGAGCAACACCAUUCUGUAACUUUGAUUGCCAAGAGACUACUCCCCCUACAAAUGUCAUCAAGAAUCCCGAAGUGGACUUCUUGGAAUCAGUGUUACCUGUCAUGUCUACAUCUGUGUAGCCUUCUAACAUAGGUUCAUCAUUGUUAAAACAUAAACACAACCUGGAAGUACCUCUUAGAUAUCUUAAUAUCCAUUUCACUACUGCCCAAUAUUCCUUUCCAGGAUUAGAGAGAAAUCGGCUAACAAUUCCAACUGCAUGAGCUAUAUCUGACCUUGUACAAACCAUAGCAUACAUCAAACUGCCUACUAUAGACGAGUAAGGCACUCUGGAUAUUUCUUCUUUUUUUUCUCACUUGUAUGAUAUUGUUUCGAACUAAGCUUGAAAUGACAUGCAAGUGGAGAACAAACUGCUUUGGCUUUACACAUGUUGAAUAUUUCAAGAACCUUUUCAAUAUAAGUCUCUUGAGAUAGCUAAAUCUUUCUUUUCUUUCUAUCACGAAGAAUCUUCAUGUCAAGUAUUUGUUUCACCGAUCCCAAGUCUUUCAUGGCAAAAGACUUACUUAGCUCUCUUUUAAACUUUUUAAUUUUUUCAGUAUUAUAGCCAACAAUCAGCAUGUCAUCAACAUAUAGCAGUAAAAUAAUAAAAUCAUCAUAUGAAAAUUUUUUCAUAAACACACAAUGAUCAGAUGUGGUUCUAUCAUACCCUUGGCUCAUCAUAAAGAAAUCAAACUUCUUGUACCACUAUCUAGGUGCUGUUUGAAUCCAUAUAAGCUUUUCCUAAACUUACACACCAGAUUUUUUUUUCUCUUGAGUUUGAAACCUUCUAGUUGUUUCAUGGAAAUUUCUUCUUCUAAGUCACCAUGAAGAAAUACUAUUUUCGCAUCAAGUUGCUCAACUUCUAAAUUCAAGCGAGCAACCAAACUAAGAACAACUCGGAUAGAGGACAUUUUCACUAUAGGAGAAAAUAUUUCUUUAAAGUUAAUACAUUUCUUUUGACUGAAUCCUUUCACAACUAGUCGUACCUUGUAUCUUUGUUGUGAGUUAUUAUUUUCAGAUUUUAAUUGAUUAACCCACUUAUUCUUGAGAGUUUUCUUCUCUUUAGGCAACUUUACCAAGUCAUAGGUAUGGUUCUCAAGCAAGGAUCUCAUCUCUUCUUACAUGGCUUUAACCCAUUCAUUCUUAUGCUAAUGUAAAAUAGUUUUUUGGUAAGUUUCUUGCUUUCCCCCAUCAGUAAGCAUAACAUACUUAUGUGGAGGAUAUCUGGUAGAUGGUUGUUGCUCUCUAGUGGAUCUUCUCAAUAGAAUCUCAACUAGUGGUGGAUGUGUUUGUUCAGUUGGUUCAGCAUUAUCAACUAUAGGAGUAUCAUCACUUACAUUCUCACUACAAUCUUCUUGUUCAUCUCCUCCAUGAUCAUCAUGAACUAUAGUUGAAGGAACUGGACCCAAACUCUAAGGAACAUAAAUAGAGGUUUUUGGCUUCUCAACAUUAUCACCAUCAUCAAACAAUUGGUCUUCAAGAAAUAUAACAUCUCUGCUUCUAAUAAUCUUCUUAUUCAUUAGAUUCUAUAAUCUGUACCUAAACUCUUUAUGACCAUAUCCCAAGAAGAUAUAUGCUUUUGCCUUAUUAUCAAGCUUGGACAUCUCAUAUUUGGGAAUAUGAACAAAUGCUUUAUACCAAAAGACUCUCAAGUGAUUAUAAGAUAUAUCUUUUCCUUUCCAUACUUUCUCUGGAACAUCCUCUCUUUGGAACAUCACCUUUCAAAGUAAUUGAUAGAAAAAGAUUUAUCAGGUCAAUUGUAGUUCUCAUAGCCUCCCCCCAAAAUGACUUAGGUAACUUGGCAUGAGAAAGCAUAUACCUAAUAUUUUCUUCAAUUGUUCUGUUUAUCUUUUCUGCGACACCGUUUUACUGAGGAGUUUUAGGAACUAUUUUCUCAAGCCUAAUACCUUGGAACCUACAAUAAUUCUUAAAAGGACCCCUGUACUCACCACUAUUAUCUGAUCGAACAUACUUUAGCUUUCUGCUAGUUUCUCUUUCAACACUGUAAUGAAACUCCUUAAAAACAUCGAGUACUUAAUCUUUAAAUUUCAAAGUAAAAGCCCACACUUUUCUAGAAUGAUUAUCAAUAAAAAUAACAAAUAAAAAGCACAUCCAAGAAUUCUAGUUUGCAUAGUACAAAUAUCAGUAUGAACUAAAUCAAUAACAUAUGAUCUUCUAGAUGAUGAAUAUGUAUGAAAUGCAACUCUAUGUGUUUUUCCAACUAAGCAAUGAUCACAAGAUUUAAGAUAUGUACCUUGCAACUCUGGUAAGAACUGCUUUCUAGCAAGAGUUUGAAGUCUCUUCUCGCUGAUAUGACCAAGCCUCUUAUGCCAAAGAUCUAUACUUUCACAUUUUUUAAUUACAUUAAUCUUUCCUUUAUGUAGCUUAGCUUCUAUGACAUAAAAAGAGUUAAGCUUCUUUCCUCUUGUUAUAAUUAGAGAACCUUUAGUAAGUUUCUAUUUGCUUUCAUCAAAAUAAUGCGCAAAGCCCUCAUCAUCAAGUCUGCCUGUAGAUAUCAAGUUAAGACGAAUAUUUGGAACAUAUCUGACAUCUUUGAGUAUUAAUUUGCUUCCAAUACUGGUCUUCAAGCAAAUAUCUCUACUACCCACAAUCUUAAAUGUACCACUGUUUCCCAUUCUGACAUUACCAAAAUCACUAGUAGUGUAAGAUCUGAAGAAAUCACCAUGAGAAGUAACAUGAAAUGAAGCACUAGAGUCAAUUAUCCAGUCACUGUCCUGAGCUGCAAGACUGAUACAACCAUUAUCAUAAACAAUAGUGAUAUUACCUUUAGUAGCAACUGUAUUAGUUUCUUUCUCAUUUUUCUUCAUUUCAUUCUGUUAUCGUUUCCAAAACCUACACUCUUUCUUCAUGUGACCUGGUAUAUUAUAGUAAAAACAUUUGAUAUCUCUUCUAGACUUGGAUCUUCCUCUAAAACCAUGUGGAUUUCUGCUAUGACUUCUUCCACGUCUUUCUUGUUUUUCAGUAACAAAUGCACCAGAAGAAGAUUCACCAUGUUUUUUCCUUCUGGCAUCUUCAUUUAGCAAAUUGUCUUUAACCAUAUCUAUAGUUAGAGUCUUCUCUGGCAUAGAGUUACAAAUUGUCACCACAUACGUUUUCCAACUUUCUGGUAAAGAGCUAAGAAAUAAUAAUCCUUGCAUCUCAUUAUCUAUAUUCAUUUUCAUAGUAACCAGCUUAUUUGCAAGACCCUGAAAUAGGCUUAUAUGCUCAACAAUAUUAUCAUCAUCUUUAUACUUCAAAUUCACAAGCCUUCUAAGGAGAGAAAUUCUAUUUCCCACUAUCUUUUUCGUAAAGAGAUUUUCUAACCUUUGCCAAACAACAUCAGCUCUGGUUUUAUCAGAAAUAUGCUCAUGCAAGUUUAUAUUCAUCCAUCUUCUAAUAUAAACAAUAGUUUUUCUAUGUUAAAUUUCUUAUUCUUCAUCGUCCAAGGUUUAUCUUUAACUUUGAUAGGCUUAUACAAAUCUUUGUAAUAAAGCAGAUCUUCAAUCAUACGCCUCUAAGUGGAAUAAUUUGAUUAGUUCAAUUUAAUCAUACCAUCUGACUGCUAUAUUUCAAUCACGCAAGAAAAACUAGCAUCAAAACACCUGUUGCUCUAAUACCACUUGUUAGGAAAAACCUGUUAAAACGGAAUAAUUUUUUUCCCUCUUUGUGUAACAAAAUGGGUUCCUCAUCAAAAUACCAACUUAUCGAAAUGUAAAUAUCAACCAGAGCAGUAUAAACAGUAGAGCAAUAAAUCAAUCACACAGUGAGACUAAAUCUUUUAACGUGAAAAACCCAAUGUAGAAAAAACCAAGGGACCGUAGUCCACCUCAAACUUCCACUAUCAAUAAUAAUGAUAACAGAUUUAUAAUAAAUCUUCUCUAGAAUAAUUAGAGGAUCAUAAUAAUAUUAAGAACAUAGAUCUUGGUUUAAGAAUAGCAUAUCAUCAUAGGAUGGAUCUGAGAAUUCUAGGUCUCACAAAGUGGAUACAGCAGGAAAGUACCUCAGAGAGGAUAAAUCGUAGAUCAAAACAGUUAGGAUUGUAGAGCUUACUGUAAGGAUUCUUCGUAUAAAAUUUGGGUCAAAACUGAUAAAACUGAUAAUGUUUAGCUACUGAUCGUUAAGCAGAAAACUGUUUUGUCUUUCUCUCUCUCAGUGCGACUGCUCGCGUUCACUGUACAUACUCGUUGAUCUCUUAUUUGCUAUCCUAUAUCUCUUUUGUCUUUUAAUUAGUGAUUUAGGCUCAAAAAACCUAAUUCAAUUGUCCAAGCCCACGUAUGGGCAAGACCCAACAGACCACGGAGGAGACGAGUAAAUACAAUAACGAAGAUCAGGGAGGGAGCAAGGAUAAGAGGUGGCGGUGUUACCGGGUCGAAUCCAUAAAGGUUCAUCCGGAUCCGAUAUAUUACAACAAUGAAGUCGCGGAUUCGUUAUGUUAUCGGGUCGGAUCGGGUCCAUCAAAUUCUAACCCAACACGUAGCUUUUCUUUUUUUGUGGAAAAGAAAUCAUAAAAAUAUCACGAUAUUUUUCCUUCUUUGUUAUGAUCACAACAAUAAGCAUUACAAAUCAACGAGAGACAGCAACACCCGAAUGCAUCAAAGCUGCUACUUGAAGUAGAUCGCAGGCGCGUCGGAGUUGGGAUGCCACGUACCGGCCUCCCUCAUGUACUCCAAGUAUCGCAAGAACUCCGGCGUGGCUGUUGCCUUCUUCGGUGGCUUCUCCAUGAUUCUGAUGACCGGGUGCGCCUUUAUUUCCCUGGUGGUGUUCGAUCUCUUCAUUUCGCUCACCGUCGCCGCCGCCGCCGUCGUCGUCGCUUCGUCGCCCUCGGCCAGGUCGAACGAGGACUGCCGGGACAGCAGGCGGCGGUAGCCUCGCCGGCUCCUCCGACGACCCGAGGCGUCCGACAUGGCUGCUGCAGGAGGGAGGUCGUGGUCUUGCUUGCUUGCUUGUUCUUCGGGGGUUGGGAGAGCUUUAAAGCAUGGGAUAUGGCUGAGGAGGUGGGUGGGGAGUUUAAAGCAUAUCCAAUCGAUGAGUUGCAGGUGGGGCGUCUCAGUCAGGAACGCUUCCUUGAAACCCCCCUUUGGAUGAGGUAGUCUGACUUGGUGUGCUCGACCUUUUGACCAUGCCUCGCCAUGGCGGCCAUCUUCCUCUCCUGGACGACAAAGUCAACCGAAGUAGACACAGCUUUACUGUACAGGGCAAGUAUAAAGACAAACUGAUGUGGUCUCACAUUUUUAUUCCUUUUGCUUUUAGUAGAAGAUAUGCUUUGACUCCAUGGAUGAUUUCUCACUGGGUUGUCUGUUUCUUCCUCCUCUGCCAUUGUAGCUUAGCUGCCAGGAAAUCAUGGAUGAUUUCUUUGGCUGGGUCUUUGAAGCACCAACCCCCCAACUGUUGCCAAUAUCUUUUUCAACCUAUUGCCAUUUGACCAAUCGACAAAUUUGGCUCUACUUUUGAUGAUGCAGUGCAAAAUAAGAGGCUUAGCGGUUGCUUCUUUAGCAGCUGAGCUGUGAAAAUGACUUCUGCUGCGUAAGUCUGCAUGCUGAAUCGUUCUUUAGUUUACACCUUUAUCCCUGAUCAGAAUAGGUCUACCAUUUUAGAGAGAUGUGGUACAAACUUCAUGACCAUGUCCUUACAAGAACGUCUUUUUCUCUGCAGUCAUUGGGAGCUUGAAAGACUUAGUGCUAAGUUGAAUAUGUUCCAAGCUUCUUAAUACUCUCAUACAUUAGUUUUGGAUGUUUAACGAACAUAGGAAAAAUUUAAUUAAUAAUGAGGCUAAAUUGUAAGUUUUCGUAUCGAGAAAAUCAAGCUUGUUAUCUCCUAUUGUAACUAUAAAUAAGGGCUUGGGCUUUGAAGCUAGAUACACCACAAGAAAAACUAAUUAUUUACUUUGAAUUUAAUUUAUAUUAAGUUCACACUGAGUUAAAAUAAUUUUAGCUUUUCUUGUUUAGUAGUUUCAGAUGUUUUAUGGCCUAGGAACAUUUUUCUAAUGCAUUUGUAAUUGUACCUUUUAUAGUAGAGUUUUGCUCUUCCGUCCGUGGACGUAGGUCAAUUGACCAAACCACGUAAAUCUGAUAUCCUUGUUUCUUUUAUUUUUUUGCUUUAUUGUAUUUAUUGGGUUGCCAAAUUAUUCUUUGGUAAAUUUUUUAGGGUCAGAUCUAACAAACUGGUAUCAGAGCCUGGUUUCGGGAUCUUUUGGCAACGAUGAGAAAUUCGAUAGAAAUAUCAACUUUGGUAUGUGACAGCUCAAGAUGGAAGCCAUUCUAGUUCAAGACGGAGUUGAUUUGGCACUAUAAAAAACUGAGAACAUUCCAGAUGAUACGUCAAAGGAAGAUCUUGUAGGUAUGGAUAAAAAGGUCUUAUCAAGCAUUAUUCUAAAUCUCUCUGACGAGGUUUUACAAGAGGUAACUACGGAGACUACGACUAAGAACAUAUGGGACAAGCUUAAAGCCUUGUAUAUGAAGAGGAUAGUAGAGAAUCGUCUCUACCUGAAGCAGAGUUUGUAUAUGCUUCGGAUGACUGAAGGUACAUCUAUACUCUCACAUUUUGAUAAAUUUGAUUCCUUAGUUAUGGAUUUGGAGAUUAUAGAUGCAAAAAUUGAUGACGCGGAUAAAAAUAAUAUUUUUCUAACCUUUAGACAAUGGAAGGCUUUGAUUGAGAAGCAAACAGGUAAACAAAUUAAACAGCUUCGAACAGAUAAUGGUAUGAAAUUUUGUGAAUGUGACUUUGAUGAAUUCUGCAAAAAUAAAGGAAUUGUUCGGCAUCGUACUGUUAGCAUAACACCUCAGCAAAAUAGUGUGACCGAAUAUAUGAUCAGAACACUCUUAGAGAGAGCAAGGUGUAUGAUCUCAAAAUUUUUGCAUCAAUUUUCGCAUAUAUAUUCUCCAAAUUUAUAACUAAGGAAUCAAAUUUAUCAAGAUGUGAGAGUAUAGAUGUAACUUUAAUCAUCCGAAGUAUAUACAAACUCUACUUUAAGUAGAGACGAUUCUCCAUUGUCCUCUUUAUAUACAAGGUUUUAAGCUUGUCUCACAUGCUCUUAGCCGUAGUCUCCGUAGCUACCUCCCGUAAAACCUCGUCAGAGAGAUUUAGAAUAAUGCUUGAACGGGCCUUCUUAUCUAUACCCGUAAGAUCUUCCUUUGAUGCAUAAUCUGGAAUGUUCUCAGCUUGUUGUAGUGUCAAAUCAACUCCGUCUUGAACUAGAAUGACCUCCAUCUUGAGCUGCUACAUGCCAAAAUUAACAUUUCUGUCGAAUUUCUCGACAACAAUCUUUGUUAUUGUCAUCGUUACCAAAAGAUCUCGAAACCAAGCUCUGAUACCAGUUUGUUAGAGCUGGCCCCAAGAAAUUUACCAAAGGAUAAUUUGACAACCUAAUAAAGACAAUAAAGCAGAAAAAUAAAAGAGACAAGGACACUGGAUUUACAUGGUUCGGUCAAUUGACCUACGUCCACGGACAGAGGAGCAAAACUCUACUAUAAAAGGGACAAUUACAAAUACCUUAGAAAAAUGUUCCUAGGUCAUAAAACACCUGAAACUACUAAACAGGAAAAGCCUAAAUUAUAAACCCAAACUAUUUUAACUAAGUGUGGACUUAAUAUAAAUUAAACCCAAAGCAAACAAUUAGGUUUUUCUUAUAGUGCAUCUGACUUCAAAGCCCAUGCCCUUAUUUAUAAUUACAAUAGGAGAUAACAAGCUUGAUUUUUUCGAUGUGGGACUAUAUCACCAUAAUAGUAAUAAGUAUUUAUCAAAUCAUUGGUAUCUCUCGGGUCACAUUUUGUUUAAAUAAGAAAAAGUAUACGUGAAAAUUAGGAUCGAUUUUACGUAAUGCCAAAAGAAAAUUAGGAUCGAUUUUACGUAAUACUAGAGGAAUCAUUACCGCAUGGCAUAGAGGGGGAGGUCAUAAGUGUCUAUAACGUAAAAUCGAUUUUCAACCUAUUGUUGCCAUUUGACCGAUCGACAUAUUUGGCUCUGCUUUUGAUGAUGCAGUGCAAAAUAAGAGGCUUAGCGGUUGCUUCUUUAGCAGCUGAGCUGUGAAAAUUACUUCUGCUGCAUAAGUCUGCAUGCCGAAUCGUUCUUUAGUUUACGCCUUUAUCCCUGACCAGAAUAGGUCUACCAUUUUAGAGAGAUGUGGUACAAACUUCAUGACCAUGUCCUUACAAGAACGUCUUUUUCUUGGGAGCGCUUGAAAGACUUAGUGCUAAGUUGAAUCUGUUCCAAGCUUCUUAAUACUCUCAUACAUUAGUUUUGGAUGUUUAAUGGACAUAGGAAAGAUUUAAUUAAUAAUGAGGCUAAAUUGCAUGACUAUAUCACCAUAAUAAUGUUAGUUUGACAAGUUUCCUAUUGUAACUAUAAAUAAGGGUCUGGGAUUUGAAGCCAGAUACAUCACAAGAAAAACUAAUUAUUUACUUUGGGUUUAAUUUCUAUUAAAUUCACACUUAGUUAAAAUAGUUUGGACUUUUCUUGUUUAUUAGUUUCAGGUGUUUUAUGACCUAGGAACAUUUUCCUAAGGCAUUUGUAAUUGUUCCUUUUAUAGUAUAGUUUUGCUCCUCCGUUCGUGGACGUAGGUCAAUUGACCGAACCACGUAAAUCUAGUAUCCUUGUUUCUUUUAUUUUUCUGCUUUAUUAUAUUUAUUGGGUUGCCAAAUUAUUCUUUGAUAAAUUUUCUAGGGUCAGUUCUAACAAAUUGGUAACAAAGCCUGAUUUUGGGAUCUUUUGGCAAUGAUAAGAAAUUCGAUAGAAAUGUCAACUUUGGUAUGUGACAACUCAAGAUGGAGGUCAUUCUAGUUUAAGACAGAGUUGUUUUGACACUACAGAAAACUAAGAACAUUCCAGAUGAUACGUCAAAGGAAGAACUUGCAGGUAUGGAUAAAAAGACCCGAUCCAGCAUUAUUCUAAAUCUCUCUGACGAGAUUUUACAAGAGGUAACUACGGAGACUACGACUAAGAACAUGUGAGAUAAGCUUAAAGCCUUGUAAAUGAAUAGGACAGUGGAGAAUCGUCUCUACUUGAAGCAGAGUUUG
rnacentral:lncRNA from 1 species